rnacentral:lncRNA from 1 species
UUUUUUUUUGCUACUUGCAAAAGCCAGUGCUUUUAUUAAUAAAAGUUCUUAUUUUCAAAACUUAUUUUCCUAUUUUCAUUAUCUAUUUACUUUACUGCUAUUUAUGUUUUUCAGCGCAAAUACUAAUAAAAAUCCUCGUUCCACGAUUAUGACGUGAAACGAAUCCAUUGAGCAGAAUAUGAGUGAUGAGAAAGAUUACGAGGAAUAUGAUGAAAGCAUAAUGCCUGAAAACCUGUCGUAGGAGAUCGAGCAACUCGAAAGUUAGAAGAAGCCUAAUAUGGACGAAACUGAAGUCGUCAAUUUGGGUGAUGAAGAAAGAGCAAAGGAAACAUGAGUCAACAUACACUUGGAGGUUGAAAGGAAGCAGGAACCGAUAGGCCUACUCAAGCAACAUAUCGAUGUAUUUGCUUGGUUUUGUAAUGGCAUGCCCGGUUUGAUCAAUGAUAUUAUCUCACAUAGACUUUCGACUAACCCCGCAUGUCCGCCUGUGAAGCAAAAUAUGAGGAAAUUCAAACCCGACUUGAGUUUAAGAAUUAAGGAGGAAGUGACCAAACAAAUAGAAGCCAACGUCUUGAGGGUCACAACUUAUCCCACCUGGCUGGACAGCAUCGUGCCAGUACCAAAGAAGGAUGGGAAGAUAAGAAUAUGUGUGGAUUAUCAAGAUCUCAACAAGGCUAGUCCGAAAGAUGAUUUUACUCUCCCAAACAUUCAUAUUAUCAUAGAUAACUAUGCAAAACAUGAGUUGCAGUCAUUUGUUGAUAAUUUUGCGGGAUACCAUCAAAUCUUGAUGGACAAAGAUGAUGCAGAUGAGAAAGCCUUUAUCACUCCAUGAAGAGUAUACUGCUACAAGGUGAUGCCAUUUGGACUCAAGAAUGUCGGUGCAACGUACAUGAGGGCCAUGACCGCUAUUUUUUAUGAUAUGAUUAAUAAAAAGAUCGAGGUGUAUGUGGAUGACGUAGUUAUAAAGUCCAAAAGGAGUUUGGAUCACCUGGAUGACUUACAAAAGUUCUUCAAAAGGUUGCAAAGGUACGACCUAAAGUUGAAUCCAGCUAAAUGUGCCUUUGGAGUUCCCGCAGGAAAGUUAUUGGGAUUCAUCGUUAGUAGGAGAGGUAUAGAGCUGGAUCCAUCCAAGAUAAAGAAAAUCCAAGACUUACCAGCUCUUAAGACCAAAAAGGACGUAAUGAGAUUCUUGGGAAGACUCAAUUACAUCAGUCAGUUCAUAGCCCAACCACAAUAAUUUGUGAACCAAUAUUCAAAUUAUUGAAGAAGGAUGCCACCACCAGAUGGAUUGAAGAAUGUCAGAAGGCUUUUGAUAAAAUCAAGGAGUAUUUGUCUAACCCACCAGUAUUGGUUCGACCAGAACCAGGAAAGCUGUUGUUGUUAUAUCUAUUUGUUAUGGAUAAUGUAUUUGGAUGUGUGUUAGGGAAGCAUGAUGAUACAUGGAGAAAAUAGUAAGCCAUUUACUACCGGAGUAAGAAGUUCACAUCGUAUGAAGCUAGGUACAUAUUAUUAGAGCAGACUUAUUGUAUAUUGACUUGGGUCGCGCAAAAGUUAAGACACUACCUAUCUGCAUAUACCACAUACUUGAUCUCAAGAAUGGAUCUACUCAAGUACAUCUUUUAGAAGCCAAUGCCUACUGGAAGAUUGGAAAAAUGACAGAUUUUGUUGAGUGAGUUUGACAUUGUGUAAGUAAUAUAAAAACCGUCAAAGGACAAGCUUUGGCUGAUCACCUCGCAGAAAAUCCAAUGGAUCAAGAUAACAUGCCACUCAUACCUACUUUCCUGAUGAAGAGGUAUUGUUUGCAAGAUAAGACAUCUCAGAGACGUAUGAUGGAUGGAGAAUGUUCUUCGAUGGAGUAAUGAACUUUAAAAGAGUCAAAAUUGGAGCAGUUCUAGUUUCAGAAAUAGGUCAACAUUACCCAAUCUCUGUGAAGAUUAGGUUUCCUUGCACGAAUAAUAUGACAGAAUAUGAGGCUUGCAUUCUUGGGCUUAGGAUGGCAGUAGACAUGGACAUCAAAGAGCUAUUAGUGAUAGGAGAUUCAGAUUUGUUGAUCCAUCAGGUGCAAGGAGAAUGGACCACCAAGAAUGUCAAAAUCCUUCCUUAGGUGGAAUGUGUUAAGGAGCUGAGUAGAAGGUUCACGAAGAUUGAGUUCAAAUAUGUCCCUCGAAUUCAAAAUGAGUUCGCCGAUGCCCUGGCGAUAAUUUUCUCAAUGAUUCAUCAUCCAGAUAAGAAUUAUAUCGACCACAUCAAGGUGGAGAUACACGAUUAAUAUGCAUACUAUUUUUAUGUGGAUAAAGAACCAGAUAGAAAACUGUGGUACUAUGACAUCAAAAGGUUACUCAAAGUAGGAGAAUAUCCAGAAGGCGCUACCGGCAAGAAGAAGAGGACUUUAAGAAAGAUGGCCAAUCACUUCUUUCUCAACAAGGAAAUCUUGUAUAGGAGGACUCCAGACUUGGAAUUGUUACGAUGUGUCGAUUCCACGAAGGCCACAAGAUUGUUAGAGGAGAUACAAGGAGGAACAUGUGGACCUCACAUGAAUGGUUUCAUGCUUACAAAGAAGAUUUUGAGAGCUGGAUACUUUUGGAUGACCAUGGAGAGGGAUAGCAUUCGAUACGUAUAGAACUGUCACCAAUGUCAACUUCAUGGAGACUUUAUACGAGUUUUGCCAAACAAACUCAAUGUGAUGGGUUCUCCUUGACCGUUUGAUACUUGGGGCAUGGAUGUUAUUGGGCCCAUAUAGUCUCCUACAUCUAAUGGACACCGUUUUAUCUUGAUAGCCAUCGACUACUUCACAAAGUGGAUUAAAGCCUCAACACAUAAGGUCGUAACCAAGAAGUUGGUAGCAGACUUCAUUCGCAAUAACAUAGUCUGUCUAUUUGGAAUUCUAGAGUCAAUCAUAACGGAUAAUGGAACCAAUCUCAAUAACGACCCGUUGAGAGAGAUUUGUGAAAGGUUUAAGAUCUCUAAUCAAAACUCCACAUCAUAUCAACCGCAAAUAAAUGGAGUAAUUGAAGCUGCAAACAAGAACGUCAAAAGGAUCUUGAGGAAGAUAGUGGACAGUAAUAGGGAAUGGCAUGAGAAGCUACCAUAUGCUUUACCUGGGUAUCGCACCAAAAUCAGGACUUCUACUGGGGUAACUCCCAACAUAUUGGUUUAUAGGUCGGAAAUAGUAAUACCUGCAGAAGUGGAGAUACUGUCAUUGAGAGUUAUCCAGGAGGUUGGGCUAGAUGACACUGAAUGGAUUCGUAGCAAGGUCGAACAAUUAAUGUUUAUUGAUGAAAAGAGAUUGGACGUAGUCUGUCAUGGCCAACUUUAUCAAAAUAGAAUGAUCAAGGCGUUCAACAAUAAGGUCAAGCCUUAUUGAUUUACACCAGGAAAGAUGGUAUUGAAUAAGAUAUUCCCUCACCAAGAUGGAGCUAAAGGGAAAUUUGCACCAAAUUGGCAAGGUUCCUACAUAGUUCACCGAGUACUCUCAGGUGGGGCAGUGAUCCUUGCAGAAAUGGAUGGCACAAUGAGCACGAAGCCGAUCAAUUCAGAUGCCAUCAAGAAAUACUACAUUUGAAGACAUUAGGACUAGUUGUUGCUUCCUUGUACUUUUGGCAUUUUUCUCUAAUAUAACAGAACUACGUAUUAGCCUGACUUCCCACGGCGGGAUACGAAGGCAGCCCACAUAGGGUUCAUUUUUCCUUAGAAAAAACCCAAAACAUCAUAAUUUCAUGUAUUUAGAACUAUGCUCAACCUGACUUCUCACGACGGGAUACGUAGGCAAUCCUCAUCGGAUUCGACCCCUUCAUAUUUUUACCUUUUCAUUGUACUGAACUAUGGCCUGGCCUGAUUCCACUUGGAUACGUAGGCAGCCUGAGUCAGGGCCGGUCAUUGCAUUAUUUUACUUCAGCUCUUUGUAUUAAACAACGUUAUAACCUGAUUCCACUUGGAUACGUAGGCAUUCUGAGUCAGACUCGAUCAAUGCAUUUCAUAUUUUUAUUUCUCCUAUUGUAUUUGAACUACGUCAUGACCUGAUUCCACUUGGAUAUGUAGGCAGUCUGAGUCAGACUCGGUCGCUGCAUUGCAUAUUUCUUUAUCUACCCUCGAACUAUGUACAAACCUGAUUUCUAUUCUAAGGAUACAUAGGCAACCUGAAAGGUUCGGUCUUACCUUUAGGAAAAUCCCCUAUCGCUCAUAGUAUAACCCAGAAUAUAAGAGAUCUCGUUGCCAGAAUCAUCAUAAGCAUCGACAAAUCGAAUGAUAAAGCUAUGAUAAUCACGAUCGACGAGUGGAGGCUUAACGGAUUUCAAAACAUGUCAUAAUCUGAAAACGAUAAAGGAUUACUAUAUAUACUUAACAUAUAUGUAAUAUAUUUGUGAAAACAUAUAUACUUAUAUGUAUUUUUCACUAUACUUUCCAACUUUCCCACCUAUUGAGACUCCAGACUUGGGAGUGAUCGAGCAACCGAGAAAGUAUUGGAGAAUUCCUUAAAUAAAGCCUGGAUUCCUAAUUCGACAAUUAUCAACACCCCCUCCCAACUAAGGAUUUUACUUUGAGCACAAGAAAACAGGAAUUGGUAGACGACAUCAAGUUAAACUUUGGGACAAGAUCAGGGACAUCAUGCGGCUUAUCAUCACGACAUGAGCAAAAUAUCCUUCCCUUACCUUAUUCUCUUUACAUAUAUUUAUACUAAUCCUCACCAGCUCUAAGAAAUUUAUUUGAAUUCUUUCACAGGUACGUUUUGAAGACCGGGAUCAAAGACGACGAAAAGAGGUCCUCAUAGAAAAUUAGGAUAUUUUACCUCUCCCAACAAAACUCCACCAAUCGGAGCCAACUACCUGCCUGCGUCAAAUAACUUCUCCAAUCAAAGAGUCAUCAUUUAACUAUGUCAAAUAACUCCGCCAAUCGGAGAAUGUCAUCGGACUUCAACAAAGUCAAGCUCCUGUGUCCCGAGGACUGUACAUAAGCAAACAAAGUUGAGCUUUUGCAUUUCAAAGACCGUACAUAAGCAAACAAAAUCGAGUUCCACAUUUUGAAAACUGUACAUAAGUAAGCAAAGCGAUCCUCUACCAUAUAGGAGGGUGUGAAUGCAUAAUACAACUCUUCACUAUAUCGGGAGUUGUGCACCAGCAAGGGGACACCCCACCACAAAUUAAAGAAUGUACAUACGCAAAGCAACACUCCGCCAUAUCGGAGAAUCACAUUUCAGCAAACAGAGCACAGUCUACCAAUCAGGGGCCCACACCAUGGCAAGCGCGUAAGAAACACACUAUCACAGCAACAUCAAGUUCCAGCAGAAAUACCAUCAUCUAAUUCAGAAUGAAGGUCGCCUUACCAAUACAAGGCAGUUUACCUUUGGGAAAAUGUCCCACCAUCAUAGGCUUUACUUUUCAAACACUGCUCGCCAGUCAGAUGGCAUUUAUUUUUUAAGUAGCUGCUCAGCCGAUGGAGGCUAUUUAUAUUUCAGCCGACAUAGGCUAUUUAUUUUUUAGCCGACGGAGGCUAUUUAUAUUUCAGCAACUGCUUAGUCGAUGGAGGCUAUUUACGUUUCAGACGAUGGAGGUUAUUUACAUUUCAGCAACUGCUCAGCCGACAGAGGCUAUUUAUAUUUCAGUCGACGAAGGCUAUUUAUAUUUAAGCCGACGGAGGCUAUUUAUAUUUCAGUUACUACUCAACCAACGGAGGCUUUUACUUUCAAGCAGCUGCUCAGGCGACGGAGGCUAUUUCCAUUCUAGCCUAUGGAGGCUAUUUACAUUUCAGUUACUGCUCAGCCGAUGAAGGCUUUUACUUUCGAGCAGCCACUCAACCGACGAAGGCUAUUUACAUUUUAGUUACUGCCCCGCCAGUCGGAGGCCUCCACAAAUGGAGACAAUACUAGUUUGAAUAUCUGAGCUUCACUCUUUAAAUUACAAUUUCAAUUUACAAUUUUUGAACAAACAGGAACUUUUCACCUCUUUUACCUAUUUUGCAUGAACAUGCAAUACAAUGUGGAACUACCCUCUUAGCAGCAAACUAGGGUAAGCUAUUCGAAUGUCAAGCAUCCCUAGCUAUGUCAAGGAUUCCGACGAAGAAACUCAACUCAACUCGACUCAAAACUCUCUUUUUUUAAAUAAUUUUUCACCCAAUGUCGUCUUAAUCCAACACUAGGGCAAUUUUUUUCGCAAUCUCCUUUUCCCUCAAAAUCCUCAGAAAAUAUGGCUAUCCAACAUCUCUGUAUUCCCAGCUAUCCUAAGUAACCAAUUGAGGAAUAAUCCCAUAUCCAUUUCAUUCAUGCUGAAAUCUUUGUUAUCAUCCUCGAAGGAAUCCAGUGUCACCAUAAUUCUACACUGGGGCAAAUUUUGAUAUUUAUUAAAAUUUUGCUAUAAUUCGAACUACAAAUGGCCUAACUUCUCGUGAAGCCCGAGAUAUGUAGGUAGCUCAGAAAUCGAAGCCCGGCCAUAAUAUUAUAAAUAUUUUUGUUUCACCUGGGACAAAAUUGAUUACGUCAACGUGAUUGCCCAAAGAUUUUCACUUAAAUCUUUGAUCACUCGGGGGCAACUGUUGACACCCAAUUUUGGCUCGCUCUUUCCAAAUUUUAUCGAUUUUCUUGGCCCUAACUAAUUUUCAAAAAAUUAAAUAAGAAAUAAGAUUCGUAUUUUUAUCUCUAUUUCUACAAUUUAAAAAAAAGGAAAUUUAUUUUUAUAAAUAAAAUAUUUUAAUCAAAUAUAAUUAAAUAUUUUAACAGCAAAACCAUAAAAAAUAUCUUUUGAUAAUCGCAUUCACAUUUUUUAUUUUCUUUUAGGGUGAUAUUGUGACUAUAUACAUAUGUAUAUUUUGUCAUAUAAAAUAAAUAUAUUUUUUAUUAUAUUCUUAUUUUACAUAUAUUUUAUUAUAUUCUUGUUUCUACACACAUAUGUUUAAUUAAUAUUAAAUAAAUAUAUAAAAAAAUAUUAAAUUGGAUGCUUAUUCAAAUUAUGUUUGUAAUUUAUGAAUGUACGUAAGAAAAUAAUUUUAGAAUAACAGGGAGCAUCGAUAAAACUAAUUCCAUUAGAAAAGAGUAUUCGGGUCAACAAUCAUCCAAUUUCAUUUUUUAUUUCACCGGAACUCAACUCUUAUUUUAUGAAUUCCAGCCAGGAGCAAAAAAAUUAGUCCAAAAUUCGAUAUAAUUCCCAUUCCGUUUCACCAUUCCACCUCAAUAAAUAUAAUGUAACCUAAUCCGCGAAUUUAUUUUAAUUCAAAGGAUCCCAAAAUUUUUAGAUUUUUUUAUGUGUAGAGUAUAUAAUUUAUUUUUAUUUAUUUAAUUAUCUAUUUAUUUAUGUAUUUAUUUUUCUCCCUUUCUUCUUCUCUUUAAAUUAAAUUUGAACUGUCCGAUCAAAUAUCAAAUGGAUAAAAAAUAGUCUCUUUAAAAUCGACCUUUCAUAUAUUUAUAUACAUACGUUUUCCUUUUCUAAUCUUUUUCUAUUAUUAUUUUUAAGGAUAAUAUUUUAGGGAUCGUCCGACCAAAAGAUCAGACGAAUCAAAAUCAAUCCAAAAUUAUCAGACCAACACAAAUUAUCUGACUCGAUAAUUUAUUUUCAAAUUCGAAGGUUUGAAAUUUACAAAUUUAUAAAUAAGUUAUAUUUUGCAUAUAUAUAUAUAUAUAUAUAUAUAUAUUCAAUUAUUUUCUUAUUUUUUAUUUGAACCGUCCGAUCAAAUGAACGGACGGUCCAAAUAUUGGUCAAAAUCUUCAACCAAUGCAAUAAAUGAUGCACCAGAAAGGCACCAACAUGCAUUUUUCUUUUCUCAAGAAAACAACAAGUGGUCACCAUCAUUAUCCGCUCCCCUUUCUCUUCUUCUUUUCCCCUUCUUUCUUCUUUCUCCUCUAUUCUCCACCACCAAAACAUUAACCCUAGCGACAACCUCCAACUGUCCUUCUGCGCGACCCAUCUCCCCCACCCUAAAAAUCCACCGACUUCACUUUGACUGCAAAAGCAGGCACUAUUUGGUACCAAAAAAUCAAAAUUGCUAUAAGUAGCCUAAAAGGCAGAGGUUGGAAUAGGUGUUGGAUUUGAUUGCAAAAUCCAUUCUUUUUCUUCUUCUCAUUUUCAAUUUUUGAGGUCUCAAAUCCGAACUUUCAAGUCCGAAUUUAGCACCUAUAAAUAUGGUGUUUUCAUCCCCUAUGAAGGCAAGAAACUUUGAGAGAGAGAAAUCCGGGAGAAGGGUUCAAGAUCUGGAAAAGGGGGAACGAGUGAAAAUAUGAGAGAAAGGCAAAUUUUGAGAGAAAUUUUCGAUCUGUAAGAAAGAAAAAUUCGCGAGAAAGCAAAGAGAUUGGAAGUUUCUAAAUCAAGAAAAAAAAGGGAGACAAAAAAAAUGAAGUAAGGAAAAUUGGUCUUGUUUUUUUAUUUCCAGAAUACAUGUUUUGGAAUAAGUUUGGAAUAUGUUCUGAAAAAGAAAAGUUUUUUCCAAAGUUGCUAUUUCUUUUUUAUUUUGGUCAAGUCGGAGUCCGAUAGUUGAGUUAUUUGUCGAUGAAAAAUCCCUAGGCAUUGAGGCUCCCAUUUGCUAUGCCAACAAAGAUGUCAAAGGAUAAGAAAUGCAAGGUAUAUAUAUUCAUUCGCUACCACAUACAAGGUAUAUUAUUUUCAAUAUUAUUAUAGUAAUUAUUUUCAUCAUUAUUAUCAUUCAUUAUUAUUGCCAUUAUUAUUUAUACAACCAUUAGUACUAUUAAUUAUUAUUAUUAUUAUUAUUAUUAUGGUUUAAACGACUUCAUAUGUUAUGCAUUAUAUUAUUAUUAUUAUUAUUAUUAUUAUUAUUAUUAUUAUUUUAAUUUCAACCCAUUCAUAAUCUUUCAUAUAUUCCCUCACAUACUCUUAAAUAUACUUUUCGUAAUUAAAUUUUCGCGUCAUGAAAAAAAAUAUAUUUGCUUAUGUUUUAGUCAUAUACUUAAACUUCACAUGUCUUAAAGUUUCUUUAUAAGAUCAUAAGAUUUUUCACUUUCUGAUGUGUAAAUUACAUUAUUAGCCUUUUCGUAUCCUACAAAUAUUCAUAUUUUGCGAUAAUUAUAUUACUUCCUUGUACAUGGUAGCGUCUUGUUUACUAUACUUUAAAAUUCCUUGUAAAUAACGAUAGUGAAUAUAUGACAAAAAAAUUUUCAACACAUUUUAGCAAAUAACGAAGCAAUGCUUUCCUAAAUUGAGUGUAAGAACUAUCUUUGGAUAUACUCUGCGGGUUGCCUAACACUUCCCCUCGAGUAACCAAAGUCCUUACUCAAAAUCUCAAAAAUGUUUCGAAGGACCAAAACAGAGUUCUUCUACAUAAUAAUAGUUUUUUCCUAAUUUUUCUAAAAAGUUAGGUGGUGAAUCUAAAAAAUAAUUUUGAAAACCCAAGAGUCACGACACGCCAGCACAUGUUAUGUGUUGUUUCAACCAGUUCAAAAUAGGGCGCGACAUAUGUCACGAUCCAAAAAUGAGUCGCGGUGUACCUUGACAAGUAAGCCUAUCAUCCAAACUGAUACAGAAAGAGAAAAAGACGGAAACAUCUCAAGGUAAGGCUUUUAGAACGAAGCCGAAUCAUAUAAGUAAUCAUAACAAUGCAGAAAGAACUUAUCCAAUAUACCAAUCAUUCCCAAAACCAAGUGUCAAUAGUGUAAGAACUACUCAUAGAAUCCAGGAGUCAAAUACAUCAGAAAAAUAAUCGAAAGAAAAUAAUAUCUAUCUCUGAAUACUAAUAAAUACAUAACUACUAUAGAAAGAUAGAGGUGAACUACGGACUCAUAAAUGUCCAGUCACUAUCUUGAAAGCUCCAAUAAUCACCUAAGUCAAGCAAGUUGAGGCACACUCGAUCUAGGACCUACACCAAAAGGGUGUAGUAGGCAUGAGUACGGUCCACUUGUACUCAGUAGCUAUCAUAGGCCAAUCAAUCAAAGUAGCAAAUAAAGCAUAAAAAAUAUACACUAAGGGCACGUCACCUGUAAUCAGAAAAUAUCCCACAACGGUAGCCCACACCUCUUGCACUAACAGUUCUAGAAUUGUAGACACCUAAUUUUGUCCCUCUCCGAUAUCACUUUUACUCAUUUUUACCUUAUCCUAUUGCGUACCCUCACCCAUGUGAUUAUAUCCCACAAAAAUACAAAAAUAACAACCCUUUUAUAAUUUUCAAACAAAUUUCAUCUUAUUUUAAUCUUAUCCUAACUAACUUACCCUAUCCCACCUACCCUAUACCCUCACCCAUACCCCACUUCCUCUCAACGUGACUCCUCCCUUAUAUUUAUUUUCCAUAAAUUAAAAGGCAUAUACACACAGAUUCUAUCCAAUUGAGGAGGGGGGAUCACUCACAUAAUAUAUACAAUAUACAUAGAAGACAAAGGGAGGUCUGGUGGGUUUUUCCAGAGAGAGGGAUAAAAAGAGAGAGAAAGAGAAGCACAGAGAGUACUAUUUAUGGUUUUCUUCUCCAAGAGGUCGUACAUACACAAAGAACCAUAAAAUCGCGCCCCACAUACUGAAAUAGAAUAAUCGAGAGAGAGAGAGAGUCACAAAGAGAGAGAACACAAGUUUUGCGGGUUCGUUACUAUUCCAGUGAUAGACUCAUCGAAAAUGCAUUGGAGCCCUCACAAAUACUUACAAACCUAUCGAAAUAGGUUGCAAUUAGUAUGACUGUGUUUGUUUUCGGUCAUCGUUGAGGUUAUCGAAGUCGCGACAUCAUAUAGCAGUCAAUCUAAGCUCGAUCCGCUUCCAAUUCCGUUCAAACUUGUUUGAAUACAGUCCAAAGUUCUUUUAUUCUCACGAUUUUUAGCUCAGGUCAAAUUGGUUUUCAGUCUCUUUUGAAUUUUUGAUGCUUUUGGUUAGUAUGUCUUGGUGAUUCAUUGUCGAAAUCAGGUUUCGAGUUCAUUGAUUGUUGUUUUGGGCUUGAGAUUUGGGUCUUCCAAUCAUCUCGACCAGUCAUGGGUUUCAAAUUCUUCAAUAUCAGAGUUGGAGGUCGUCACUAUUGAGGUUCUAUUCGGGAUUCUCGGAUUCGGGCUUCUUUAAUUCUAUAUUAUCUAUGAAAUUGAUUCUCCGAAAGUCCAUCUCCUAACUUUGCUCUUUUAUUUUCUCAAAUUUUAGUUAAUAUCAUGAUUUGUGGUGUGGUAGAUUUUGAAAAGCAAUUUGAUAGCCGAAUUGGUUUAAUCACGUGAGUUUUGGGAGGGUCAGAGUUCAAACAUUGAUAAAAGUGAAUAUUAGUUCAUGGUGAUUUAUGGAUAAACCUUGAUUCGGGAUAAGUAUCGACUUUGUUUAAAUUCGAUAGUCUCAUAGUUUAAGUUAACAAUUAUUAGGCAAACGAUAGGGGGAAGCAUGUAAGAAUGUCGGAUUGGUGAAUGCUUGAAAUGUGUGUUUAAUGGUUUUCACUUAUCACUUUUGGAUCACUUAUAAUAUUUGGUCGGGGAAUGCCCCAAAGUAUCUGUAUAUAUUUAUUCACCGGGGAAUGCCCCGAGGUAUCUUGUACCCAGAGAAUAUUCGUGAUGAAGGCCCAACGUGUCGGGUAAAGCACGGGAGUGUAAUUAGGAUUAGUAUAGGUCAGAUAGGAUUUAUUUUCAUAUUUUUCUAUUUUGGGCUGUAUAAAUUGCACCGGACACUAUAUUUUUGGAUUCAUUUUGUUUUCUUUGUUUGUUUGAUUGUUUUACGUGUUUUUUAGUGUGGUUUAUACAUUCAUAGUGUCAGAUUAGCCGAUACGCUCCACCAAGCGACCAUUGUCAAACCACGGGAUCGAGGAGUGCCUAACACCUUCCUCUCGGUCAAUAGAAUUUCUUAGCCAGAAUCUCUGUUCGCAGAUCAGUUUUAAAGAGUCAAAUCAUUUUAAAAAGGAUCUUUCAAAGGUGACUUGUCACACCGGAUUAUGUCAAGUGGAGACUCUGAAUAAAAAAUGUAAAUAAUCCUUUUUCGAAAUAAAUUUUUAAUCUCAUGUCACUUCGAUAAUAAAAACCAUUUCGAAACUAAAAAUCCAAUCUUUUGGGGUUAAAAAAAAGAGGUGUGACAGCUCUGGAGACUCUACUGGAGAUUUUUCAGAAUUCGAGUUUAUUUUUUUGAGUUGUUUCAGCUUAGUUUGACAUUAUGGGUGUAUAAACAUUGUUUGUCUUAUCGUUUGUGUGUAUUUUAUCAUUGUUGUGUGCCUACGUGUUUACAGUCUUUCUUUAUGUGUUACCACUUUAUAUCUGGCAUCAUUUGCAUAACCCGAGUCAAUUCUUUCUGCAAUAAGUCUCGGAGUGCACGUCGUGUAAACGAACUCUAGUUGAGUCAUUCUUAUUUUUAGGAGGGGGAGCCGUUAGACGUAUGGAGUAGGUGGAAAGCUGUCGCAGCCACUAUCGACCAUACGUUCCCCCGAACAGCCUUGUUAGUGAACCCCAGCGUAAGUCUACCUUUAGGUCAUGCUUAUGUGCGUCAUAUUAAGACUUAGCGAGGCCCACUUGGUCCUUUGUAGGAGACUGACCCUUAAAGCAUCCUACGUGCUAAUUAUCCCAUUUUUUAAGGUGAUGAGGCCAUUUAACAUACCGAUUUGGGGAAAGCAUAUUGCUAGAAGUAAAGUGUGUAGACAAGAAAGUGUUAAAAAAAAAGUUUCGGAGUUUUUAGAAUUUUUUAUAGUUUGUGUUUUUUUUCACAAUCCAAAAAUUCAAAAAGAUUUUUUUUACCUUUCGCACUCAUUUUCUCAAAAACAUCAAACUGAUUUCCCUUUAUCUCCUCUAGCAAGCAUUCAUAAUUCAAAAAAUUCAAAAAAAAAAUUCUUAAUAGGAGCUUUUUAAUAAAAGAACAUUUUAAAAAGAUGGUAGAAGUUCUGUACAUUUCAUAUAACAAAAAUACCAAAAGAUUUUUCUUUCAUAGUUGUUGGUGUCAUUUUUGUGUGAAGUGUUAAAUUAAAAAUCCCAAAAAGAUUUUAUUGACGUUUUUCAUCAUUUUUCUUUGGUAAUGUCUCAUAAUUCAAGGUUUAGUUUGUUAUUUAAUCUUUAAUUGUCCAAUCUGGACGAACUACGCACCCCUGAUUCUCCUCUCUCGGGAGUGAGAUACGUAGGCUACCUAUUGUUGGUUUGGGGAUCUUAUUUACAAAAUUCAAAAAAGAUUUUUUUUACUCUUUAUUUAGAGUAGGUGUUUCACAUAUGCCUCGAAAAGAAAACUACAAAAAGAUUUUCCUUAAUAGUCGUAGGUUUUAUUUUUGGUUGAUCUAAUUUGAAAAAUCCAAAAAGAUUUUCUUCACCCUUUAUUAGAGUAGGUGUCAUAUACUUCUUUAAAAGAAAACUACAAAAAUAUUUUUCUUUAUUAGGUUCAAGUUUCAUUUUCAUAUGAAAUUCAAAAUUGAAAAUCCAAAAAGAUUUUUCUUUGGUAAUCAUAAGUUUCAUUUUUAUACAGGGAUUUAAACCUGAAAAAUGCAAAAAGAUUUUCGCCAAUUCUUUUGACAAUUUGUUAUUUUCUUUUCUUUUUAUUUUUUAAAAGAUUCAAGAAAAAAAAAGAAAAGAAAAAGAGUUUAAUUGGCCAUUUUGGCAAGACUUCACGAGCUACGCACACCUAAUUCUCCUCUUUCGAGUGUGAGAUAUGUAGGCGCCCUUAUUGGGUUCAGUGAUCUUUUUAAAAAGAAAAAGAAGGAAAAAAAAGGUUUUCAAAAAAUGUUGAACUCUAACACCUUUGUUACCUCUUGUUCAGUUAGUUUAGGGUGGUUGGUUUGUGACAUCCUGGCUGGUCCUCCACAUCACACCAAAUCUAAAGAAGAGUUAGUUGUGUCCAACAAGGAUAUAGAAAGUGAAAUCAUGGAUCAAAAAAAGAGUCAUUAAAAUGAGAGUUUGAAGCAAGAUAUUAGGAGACUAAGGCAACAAAUAACAAAAAUGCUCCAAGCUUGGGCCAGUGGAUUGCCUCCUCCCCCAUUUCCCGCUAUUGAUCCUACAAAUACCUCGAGUUUUCCACCAAAAUUAAAGAGUCAGUUUCCUACCAUUAUUAAUGCACCACAACAUGACACAGAAUUUAUUCCAAGCCCAAAACAUCUCAAUACUUCCAUCAGUUUUCCUCUAGCUCCUCAUAUAAGCUUGCUACAUUUACAACACCACAUGUCGUCCAUGAUCUUAUUGCUCAAUCAUCUACUGAGGCUUCUACAUUGUCUAGCCACCCAACGGUUGUUCUUUCCCAUGCUACUAGUAGACCCAUGUUCAAUACUCUUGGUGGAUCAUUGCUAUACUCCUGAUCCUACAUUUAAGUUAACUGGACCACCAAAAUUUCUUAACAAGAAGGUAUGGCAGAAGAGCCAGAUAAAAUGGUUGGAAAAAUAAAGAGUGCAGGAAAUGCUGUGAAAAGUUCCCUAAGACUUGCGAGUGAAGAAGAUGUUUCAUACAAAAACUGGGGCAUGUCUUCAAGUGUUAACUCUCCUCUAAGCCUUGAGAUAUCAAAAUGCGAUGAGCAAGAUGGACAAGAGGAAUCCAUGAAAUAUUUGGGACAAUAUUGCAAUCAAUUAAAGGAAACUGGAGAGAAGAAGACUAAGAAAGAUACAGCUGCUAUUAUAGUUGGAGAAUGGGCACAUCUAGGAAGACGACAUCGUCGUUGCCGUCAAUCUCAGGCCCAAGUUCAUACCCAAGCUCUCUAUAAUCCUUCCCAAAAUCCAUUAUACUCUAUUUCCCCACCUUCAUAUCUAGUAUACUACGCACAGCCAUAUGUUCAACUCUCUUCUUACUCACAAUGGCGUGCACCGACUCCUUAGAGUUACCUUCUGGCUCCACAAAUCUAUCAAAGCCUUUCCAAGCUCGAUUUUAGAUCCAAUCCAAACAAUGAAAUGAGGCAGAAAUCGAGGGAUAGCUUCACACCAAUUGGAGAGCCGUAUGCCAUCUUAUUUCGGAUAUUGGUACAGCGGGGCAUGAUCAUUCCUCUCCUUGGGUAUACUCCUAACCCGCAUUUAAGAAGUUUUGAUCCUAAUGUUCGAUGUGCAUAUCAUUCUGAUGUUCAGGGUCACAAUAUUGAAGAUUAUCGGGAUUUGAAAAGAGAAAUUAAAAAGAUAAUUCAAGAUAAAUCAAUUAUGGUACAGAAUAAUGACAGUGAGGAAAGCUCUAGUCAUACUGAUACGCAAACCAGUGGCUAAAAUGUCAGGUUGAGCAAUUGAGAAGUUACCUCUCUCCCUACUACGAAGAGGUCUGGUAGUUUGUUUUGUUUUAUUUUUUAUUUUUUGAAUUAUUUCAGGUUUGUAGUUCGGGAUCUAUCUUGUUUUGUCCCUUUAUCAUUAUUUGAAAACCAUUCUAUCUUUCAUUUCAACUAAAUUAAGUGUCCAUUUCCCUUUGUGUUUUAAAUGUGUGUUAUUUGUUUUCUUUACACAGUACAUUUUAUGUUGGUUCUGGUGAUAUAACAUGCUAGCAAAAUUUUCAGCCAGAUCUUAAACUCCAGUUUAAGCAUGAACAUAGAAUCAGAGGGUUAAAGUUAGAAAAGAGAGCACCUCAAAAAAUAAAUAGAGUGUUGAGUCAUUUGGUGAUCAAGUUGAAGCCGUCUUUAAAAUCCAGGCAAUUAUUUUGAGAAUCAUGAGAAUAACUUGGUCAUCAAUUGAAAUACAUAUCUCAAUUAGGUUAAAUAAUGAAUGUGUGCUCCCGAGGAACAGAAUAAAAAUCAACUCCACGAAAGCAUGAGUCAUUCAAUGUGAGGAAAGUAUAACAAAGAUGGAGUUGUAUGUUCAGCAAGUGUAGAAGAAGAGGUGGUACAUAUGUUCAGGGCAAGUUAGUGUUGUAAAACAUGUCAUAAGUGAUAUUGAUCGUGCACUUUCAUAUUGCAUGAUAUGUACUUGCAUUUUCAAGGAUUGAUAUGACGAAGACAUUUCAUUCUGCUAUCCAAAUAUCGUGUCAUCCUUUAUUUACCCCAUUCGAGCUUUAGUCCUAUUUUCUUUCAUACCCCUCUUUUGGAAUUAAAAUAGAGUCAAAAAAAAAUAUGUCCAAAAAAAAAAGUGCCAAGACAAAUAGAAUCAGAAAAAUCCAAAGAGAAAAGAGUGUCAAUAAAAGAAAAAGAAUCAAAAGUCUAAAUCAUGCAAAACAAGCUACCAGAACUACACAUGACUUGAUUCUCCUCUUUCAGGGCUGAGAUACGUAGGCUACCCUAUUCGAGGCUCGGUCCAGCCAAAUAAAUAAUUUAAAAUUCCCCAGUCAAAAGAAACUGGGGCAUGAGUUAAUCUUCAUUGUUUGAGUCGAUUCCAAAAGUUGUAAGUCCCACCUCACUUCAGGUGUCGUUUGGGCCCCAUGCCAUCCUUUCUUUCUAAUCCUAUCCAAAAACCAAGUUACAACCAAAGAAAAACCUUCAGAUCAAUCUGUAAGAAUGCUAAGGCUAAGCACGCAAUGGAUGUGAUGAUGCAUUUUGGGAACUACUAGUCUUCCUCAGUGUAAGGAAUUAGGAGAGAAAUGAAAAUGAGAGAGUUUUAUCGGUGAAAACCCUCACGGGCACUAUAAGACAAUGGUGAGUUAAGAUAAGUAAAAAUAAGAGUCUUAUCGGUGAAAACUCUCACGGGCACCGUAAGACGACUGUGAGCUGAGAGAAAUGAAAAUUAGAGAAUCUCAUUGGUGAAAAAACUUCACGGAUACCAUAAGGCAAAGGUGAGCCGAGAGAAAGAAAAUGAGAGAGGCUUGUUGGCGAAAACCCUUCAAGGUGUCACUAGCCGAAUGAGGCCUCUGAAUGCAAUUGACCUCAGAAAGCAAUUCAAUUUCGAGGUCAUUCACUUAACAACAAUUGAUAGAGAGUCUUGGAUGGAAAGAUCAGGCAUUCUAAUCCGAUAUGCAUGUCAUAAUCAUUAGAGUUGACUGUCAUUUUUAGAUAAACUUUUUUUUCAUCUUUUUUAAUGGGGACAUUCAUUGUCGUUUUUUUUCUUCAAUUUAGUUAAAUUUUAUUUUCUUGAGUCAGUUAUCAAAAUAAAGCAAAAAUUAUUGUUAUUUUUCUCUUGUCUUUGAGUCAAGUCCUUGUCAAAACAAAUGAGAAAAGAUUUCAAAACUGGCUGCCAACUUCUUCAAUUGCACAAAGCAAGGCAGAAAGUCCAGCAUGAAAAAGACAUGAUUAUGAGCCGAAAAAAAGAGCAUGCAUAAAGCUUUGUCAACGGGAAAAUCUGGGAACUCAUGAAAAUACCAAGGUUUAAAGGGUUUAUCUGAGAAGCAUGGGAAAGCGGAGAUACUGUGUUUACUUUAGAGGCACUCUUAAUAAUCUGUGUUUGGAUCAAUGACGUGACAAAGCAGGGGAAAGUAUUAACAAUCCAAAACAAAAUGAAGGAAAUAGACACUAGAGCAGGUGUCGGGACAGCCAAGUGCUGCAAGCCACCACUAUAUUUUUAACUGACAAAUUUCCUUUGUUGAAACAGGUGAAAAUUCGCUUCACUUAAUUUAGCUACCAUUGGAAAAACACAUCCAUAGUAAUUUAAUUUUUGUUCAGGACCCUCCUGAAUAAUGGAAUUUUCUUUUUGUUCAGGACCAUCCUAAAAAAUGGGAAUUUACUUUCUGUUAAGGACCCACCUGAAAAAUGAGAAUUUACUUUUUGUUCAGGACCCUCCUGAAAAAUGGGAUUUUACUUUCUGUCCAGGACCCUUCUGAAAAAUGGAAUUUUACUUUCUGUUCAGGACCCUCUUGAAAAAUGGGAUUUUACUUUCUGUCCAGGACCCUCCUGAAAAAUGGGAUUUUACUUUCUGUUCAGGACCCUCCUAAAAAAUGGGAUUUUACUUUCUGUCCAGGACCCUCCUAAAAAAUAAGAAUUUACUUUCUGUUCAGGACCCUCCUGGAAAAAGGCAAUUUACUUUCUAUUUAGGACUCUCCUGAAAAAUGGAAUUUUACUUUUUGUCCAGGAACCUCCUGAAAAAUGGGAUUUUACUUUUUGUUUAGGACCCUCCUGAAAAUGGAAUUUUACUUUCUGUCCAGGACCCUCCUGAAAAAAUGGUAUUUUACUUUCUGUUUAGGACCCUCCUAAAAAAUGAAAUUUUACUUUAUGUUCAGGACCCUCCUGAAAAAAUUGGACUUUACUUUCUAUCCAGGACCUUCCUGAAAAAUGGUACCAUACUUUCAAAACAUGAAAUCCUUCUUUAUCAUAAUCUUUGUUCGGGAUAAUUUUCGUUCUAGUUAAUUUUAGUUUCAGAAGCUCCGACAGGGUGAUGAAAUUGGAAGUUGAUAAAAUUGCAAGUCAGGAGUCCGCCUGAAGUACAGGAUGAUGAAAUUGGAAGUUGAGAAAAUUGUAAGUCAGGAACCCACCUGAAAAAUAGGAUGAUGAAAUUGGAAGUUGAUUGCAAAUUGCAAUUCAGGAGUCCACGUGAAGAAUAGGGUGAAGAAAUUGAAAGUCAAGCAACAAGGUGAAGCAAUUGAAAGCUAAAGAACAAGUUAGAAGAAAAUGCAAAUCAGGAGCCCGCCUGAAGAAUAGGGUGAUAAAACUCAAGUUAAAAGUCUAAUAGAAGCUACAUGGAUAGGAUUUUUGUAAUUUCAUUUAUGUUUUAACUUGUAAUUUUCAUUUUGAUGUAAUGACAGAACCGCGGACCGAAACCUCGAUGGAACCUCACUCGACUCUCCAACUUGGUAUUGUUCUUCUCUUUCAAAUCCUUUGAAAUACCCGUGACUUGAUUCCCUCAUGAAUUGGGUAGGUAGGAUGUCCUAAGUCAAGACCCGAUUGCUCUUUUUUCCUUCUAUUUCUUUGAAUAAUGGUUGGGAUAGUUUUUUCUCGUUGUCCACUUCUUUGUCUGAAAACACUUCGUGUUUACAUUCAAAGGAGGCAUGAUGUAGACACCUAAUUUUGUCCCUCCCCGAUAUCACUUUUACUUAUUUUUACCUUAUCUUAUCGCGUAUCCUCACCCAUGUGAUUAUAUCCCACAAAAAUACAAAAAUAACAUAACCUUUUCAAAUUUUCUAACAAAUUUUAUCUUAUUUUAAUCUUAUCCUAACCAACUCACCCUACCUCACCUACCUUAUACCCUCACCCAUACCUCACUCUCUCUCCAUAUGACCCUUCCUCCAUAUUUCUUUUCCAUAAAGUAAAAGGCAUAUACACACAGAUUCUAUCCAAUUUAGGAGGGGGAACCACUGACCACUUACAUAAUAUAUAAAAUAUACAUAGAAGACAAAGGGGAUCUGGUGGGUUUUUCCAGAGAGAGGGAUAAAGAGAGAGAGAAAGAGAAGCACAGGGGUACUAUUUUUUGUUUUCUUCUCCAAGAGGUCCCCCACACACAAAGAACCAUAAAAUCAUGCCCCCACAUACAGAAAUAGAAGAAUCGAGAGAGAGAGAGAGAGAGAGUCACGGAGAGAGAGAACUCAGGUUACGCGAGUUCGUUACUGUUUUGGCUAUAGACUCGUCGGAAACAUUUCGGAGCCAUCACAAAUACAUACAAACUCGUUGGAAUACAUUGCAAUUAGUAUUAUUGUGUUUGUUUUUGGUCAUCGUUGAGGUUAUCGGAGUUGCGACGUCAUAUAGUAGUCAAUCUAAGCUCGAUCCGCUUCCGAUUUCGUUCAAACUUGUUGGAAUCCGGUCUGAAGUUCUCUUAUUCACGAGAUCUUUAGCUCAGGUCGUAAUGAUUUUUAGUCUCUUUUGAAUUUUUUAAGCUUUUGGUUAGUCUGUCUUAGUGAUUCGUUGUCGAAAUCAGGCUUUGAGUUCAUUGAUUGUUGUUUCAGGCUUGAGAUUUGGGCCUUCCAGUCAUUUUGACCAGUCGUAGGUUUCAAAUUCUUCAAUAUCAGAGUUGGAGGUCAUCACUAUUGAGGUUCUAUUCAGGAUUCUCGGAUUUGGGCUUCUUUAAUUCUAUAUUAUCUACGAAAUUGAUUCUCCGAAGGUCCAUCUCCUAACUUUACUCUUUCAUUUUCUCAGGUUAAUAUCGUGAUUUGUGGUGUGGUUUUGAAUAUUUUGAGCAAAUGUUGAUUGUUGUUGUGGAUAUAAAUGAUUGAUAUGCUUAAAUAUUUGAAUCUUUGUUGAGGUAUGUGUGCGAUGUUGGUUCAGAUUUUGAAAAGUGAUUUGAUAGUCGAAUUGGUUUAAUCACAUAAGAUUUGGGGGGUGAGAGUUAAAACAUUGAUAAAAGUGAAUAUUAGUUCAUGGUGAUUUAUGGAUAAACCUUGAUUCGGGAUAAGUAUCGACUUUGUUUAAAUUCGAUAGUCUCAUGGUUUAAGUUAACAAUUAUUAGGCAAACGAUAGAGGGAAGCAUGUAAGAAUGUCGGAUUGGUGAAUGCUUGAAAUGUGUGUUGAAUGGUUUUGUCUUAUCACUUUUGGAUCAAUUAUAAUAUUUUGUCAGGGAAUGCCCCAAAGUAUCUAUAUAUAUUUAUUCACCGGGGAAUGCCCCAAGGUAUCUUGUACCUGGAGGACGUUCGUGAUGAAGACCCGAGGCGUCGGGUAAAGCACGGGAGCAUAAUUAGGAUUAGUAUAGGUUAGAUAGGAUUUAUUUUUGUAUUUUUCUAUUUUGGACUGUAUAAAUUGGACUGGACACUAUAUUUUUAGAUUCGUUUUGUUUUGUUUGUUUAUUUGAUUGUUUUACGUAUUUUUUUUAUGUGGUUUAUACAUUCAUAGUGUCAGAUUAGCCAAUACGCUCCACCAAGAGACCGUGGUCAAACCACGGGAUCGAGGGGUCCCUAACACCUUCCCCUCGGUCAACAGAAUUCCUUAAUCAGAAUCUCUAUUCGCGGAUCAGUUUUAAAGAGUUAAAUCUUUUUGAAAAGGAUCUUUCAAAGGUGACUUGACACACCGGAUUAUGUCAAGUGGCGACUCUGAAUAAAAAAUGUAAAUAGUCCUUUUUUAAAAUAAAUUUUUAAUCUCCUGUCACUUCGAUAAUAAAAGCCCUUUCGAACCUAAAAAUCCAAUCUUUUAGAGUUAAAAAAAGGGUGUGACAAUAAUAUCCAUGUAUAAUAAACAACACACAAGAUAGGAUACAAUAUACACAAUAUCACAUACAGAUAGAACAAAAAAGGGACAUGUUUAAUCAAGAUCAUCAAGUACAAUUAAAGGAAUAUAGAAUAACUAGACGUUAACAAGUCAAUAUAUAGAACAAAUAGGUAGAUGACAAGUCAAUAUGGCAAUUCAAACACAACAUAAACACAUUAAAGCGGAUCCAAUAUAUAUAUAUGAUGAUGAUGAUGAUGAUGUUAAUGCAUGGUAUUGGUACACAGCCUCAAGUUUGGCACAUAGCCUCAAGUUCGGUACUCAGCCUCAAGUUUGGCACACAGCCUCAAAUUUGGCACACAGCCUCAAGUUUGACACACAGCCUCAAGAUCACCAAUAUCUGCAACUCUUCUCCAGCAUGAUCCUUUGGAGAUGGUCUAUAAAAUUCAAUAUCCGAUACUAAUAUCUAGUAUUCCAGUGUUUCCAGUAUUUUCAAAGCAUAUACAUAACAUAAGACAUAAAUCAAGUACACAUACAUGACAACAAGUAUAUAUAAAGCAGUAAAACGAAUAAGUGAAAUGAUGUGUAUGAUAACAUGAGAAUGAGGAUGUAAUAAUCACAACCAUUCAAAAUAAGUAUUUCCACAACCAAUCCACGUGAUGUAUUUUUACACCCAAUCCACAUGAUUUAUUUUUACAACUAAUCACAAUGUUACAAUUCUACAACUACGUCAGCCAAUAUUCACUCAUUACUUUCGUUUCAUCUAUGAAUUUUCACAUGUCUCAUAUACCAAUAAGUAUGGACACAUAACAAUAUACUAAUGAAACCACAUUAGGCAUUUCAACAACACAAUACAAUUAUUCACAUGUAUUCAAGCCUAUCAAUGUCACAUAGGACCCCACAUGGUCACACAUAUCACACAAUAUCUCAAUUUUGAUAAUCACAUCACAUAUAAGCCCUCACACGGGCAUAACACAUAUAUAGAUAUUUUUCAUGAUUAGUUACCACCCUUAAUAUGCAUUUUGUAUCAGCAUUUACUACCCAACCCAGUCUGAAAGAAUUAAGUCAUAAUCUACCUCAAAAGCCAAAACUGAUUUGCUAUACUUCAAACUCACGAUCGUACUUUUCACGAAUAAUCUCGAACUCCACUAAAAAUAUCAAAUAUAAAAUAUAAAAUCUACGCAUCAAAACAAAACCAACGAUACUCAUGUUGACUAUUUUUUGUUUGGGGUCAAAACAACCUCACAGAACGAGUUUUUGAAAAAGAAGGGCAAAAUUAGAACUUUACUUUAAAAACAUGUUUUUUAUAUUUUUAGGAAUCUACAGCUGAAAAUCUAAGUCAAAUCGAGUCAAAAACGAGGUUCAAAUUUAAGAAAAAUCAUUUUUAAGCUUUACCGGAUAAAAUUUUUGAAAUUCAGGUUAAGAUCAAGAAUCAGAGUUGUUUUGAAGGUCAAAUUGAUGAAAAACUAGUAAUUAUAAGAUAAAAACAUUAUUCAAGUGAAACGCAGUGAAAUUGGGGUUUAAAAUCAAGCCCUAUGAUUUUUGGGGUUUUGAGAAAUUACUAAGAAAAGAGUGAAUUCUUACCUUAAAUCUAUAAUAAAACCAAGAAAUAUAUGUUAAUCUAACUUUCCAAGCUCCCAGAAGCUUCACUUUUAAGCUCCCACGUUAUUUUAGGAUUUAACUCUCAAAUGGCAAGAUGAAAAAUGAGCAAAAUGGGCACAAAAAGUUGCUUAAAUAGUGCAGAUUCUCUGCACUGUUAUAGCAGUAAAAGCUGUUAUUUUUUUCUCAAGUCCAAUUCGGACUUCGACGGAAUGUCCGAGAUUCGGUUGGAGUUCAAUACAUGCAGACGAACUAUGCAAACAUACUAUAUUUGAUGUUCCGGUCGCAAUGACGAUAUUAGAUUUUCAAUAAAAUAUCGUUUUCACAAAGUUGACCCCCCAAAUCCGAAAUCACAAUUUUCUAAAUUAUGAAUUGAAAUGAGAUAUAAAAGCCGUAAAAUUAUACCAAAUAUGAUAACACCCCAAAAUCGAUAUUUCGGAUCUGUUGGCGAAGUCGAAUUUUUCAUCCAAGUUCAUUUCGAUCCAAUGUGGGUCCCACAUCACAUUUUUUAUUUUUUCAACUUUCCAAUCAAUAGGUCGAACUGAGCUCAGGUGAAGCGGGAUCCAAACCAUAGGUCUACACCUAAAAUCAAUAUUUCGGAGCUGCUGACGCAGUCCAUUCGGUCAUCCGUCUUACAGAUCAAAAGAUAUUCUCAUAAGUUUAAAAUAAGCCUCUAGAAGCCAUCAAAAACUACAAUAUCACAUAAAUGGUAUCAAAAUGCAUCGGAAACUAUGUCAAUCACCUCCGCACCCCAGAAAUUCCAUAAUGCAACUAUAAGGAGGAGUAAAACAGUCAAAUCACACAAAAUCACAAGUUUCACAUAUUUCAUCAAAUUUUUAGAUCGUUACAAUAUAUGUCCCAUAGCAAUGGACAUAUGGACAAAAAUAGAUUAGUCUACGUUAGGCUUUAUUUAUUCAUAUAAAAAGAAAAAAGAUUCAUAACCCAACAGAAAAAACUACUCUACAAAAAUAUUUUCUAAUAAACAUUUUGAAGGGCUAAACUCAACUCAAUUCAUUUCAGCCCUAUUCAAUUCAACCAAAGCUGCUCUACCAAUAGAUAAAGAAGAGCUAUACCAACGCACUGGAUUAGGUCACGGUUUACGAACUAUCUUAGCUCACAUAAAUCCAUUAAUUAUUGUUAUCAUAUGCUUAAAGCAUAUUCAUGCCAUUUGAUGUUUUGACUUUAACGUGACUCAAUUCUAUUGGGUGCUCAAAUAUUUUAACUCCACCACUCGCCUAAAAAACCUUGAUUUUCUAGAAUUUCUUUUUCAACUUUAUGUGUGAAAGGCAAGAUAUCCAAGCUUCUUUUUUGUGCAUUAGCUUCCUUGGCAUUCAGCAUAGAUGGUUCAGUCAUAUUCGAUAUUACAAAAUGAUUUAAAAUUACGACAAGGUUGAAAUGAAUUUUCUUCUUUGAUAUUCUAUAAAUAAUGCAUGACUUAAUAAUUCAAGAAAGGACAGAUUGCAAAAAGAGUUUUUUUUAAAUAGAUAAUUUGUUGGACAAUUGAAACGGUUCUUUCAAAAAAAGAACUUGAAUAAGUUAUAUAUAUUCGGGUCAGUUUGUGUCUUUUUACUUGUCCCAAAUUAACUUGACACAUUGAUUAAGAAAAAUAAUUAAUAACAUGACUAGUUUACCAUAUUAUCCCUAUUAAAUGAUGUUUAUAUUUUAAUUUGAAGAAAAAGUAAUUAAUGCAGAGGGUAAAACAUGAAAAAAAAUUGUAAACAUGAAAAAAAUAUUGUCUCUUCUUGAUUUGUAAAAAAUGACAAGUAAAAUAAAAAAUCAAAUUAAGAAAUUUAGGAUAAGUAAAAUGGAAGGGAGAGAGUACUAGAUAAUUCUAUUCACCAAAUACAAGAUAAAUGAGGGAAAAACCCACCUUUUUUUAUUCUAUUGAAAUUUGAGUAUGAAACCUCAUAAUUCGCCCCCCACAUCAUUGUCUAUUAAGCCCUAGACCGCACGCCCUUAAUGCAGCCAAGCUAUAUAUUCUAUCAUUGUAUUGGUAAUGGUAGGUGUUUAUACUCUUCAUUUCUUGUUGAGCCGAAAUUCUAAAUGUAAAGAGUGGAAGUGCUCUCAAUUUUAUGUCACAUCAUUGUUGAUCUAAUGCACUGGGAAUUUGUUAAAAUACAAACCUGCAAGACAAAAGGAACUCAUCUCCGUUUGACACAUUCAUGAAAUUCGUUACUCCAUUCAUUCUAAAUUAAUUAUCAUAUUUUGCUUUUGGAGAGUUAACAUGAUCAAUAUUCAUCCUAAAUUAAUUGUGAUGUUUUGCUUUUUAAGAGUGAACUUGAUCAAUAAUUUUUGGAAUUGAAUUGAAUUAGAUCAACAUUAUAUUUCACUUUACAACAAACUUUAGAUUUUCAAAAACUACAACUUAUAAUAUUUCUCUUAUCAAUUAUAAUUUAAUUUUCAAAAAACAAAACACAGUAUUAGGAAUUCGAAAAAGCAGCGACUCUAGUGUGGCAUGUAGGAUUAAAUUCGUAAUUUAAAAAUAAAGUUGAAUUCCGUUCAUCACUACAUAUUAGAAUCUUCCAUUGUGUCAAGAAAUUAAUAAUUUAUAUAAAACCGUAUAAAUAGAAUUAAAUUUUGUACACUAUAAUCUUUAUUUAGUUAGGUAAAGAGAAUUCAACUGAUCACCACUUAGCUUACCUUCCAAUUGAAAGAACCAUCAUGAUUUUGAAUUUCCUUUUAGUAGAAACUUUUCAUUUUUUUCUCAACUAUUUUCCAUUCUUUUAUGAGACUAUCUCACCACACUACACUUGGACACAACCUAAGAGUUCUCCAAAGAAAAUGAUUUUGUGUCGAAUUUGCAACACUUUUAUUUGCUUACAAAUUUGUAGUUAAUUCAGGUCAUGAGAUAAUUCCGUAAAAAAUACAAGUCCCGAACAAUGGACAAAUAAAAUAUAAGUUGAGUAUUACACGGAAAAACUAGGUAUAUUCUUCACCACCCACAAAGAGAAAAAACAAAAAAGUGAAAGAUGAAUAAUUUUGGUGUAACUUAGGGUAGGUUUUACUGAUCACUCUUUGUCAUUUAUCUUCAAAUAGAGGGAAAUGGAGUGAUAUUCGUUAGGCUAUUAUUCCACGUUAGCUGACAAUUCUACUUGAAGAAAUUGAGGCUGUCAAGAUAAGGACACCAAUUAUUUUGAUGUUAUACAUGCAACAAUUGUUGAUUUCAAUCUAAUGUAACUAAAGCAAUGAAAAGAAUCUAGAUAAUAUGUGCUGUGGAAUAAAGCAUGUAAAGCCAAGGACCUGGGGAUACUUCUAAUAAAAUGAAGAAACCAUUACACGCAAAAUAAAGUCCCUUUUUAUAUCUCUAAUCUCUAAUCUUUAAAAUCUCUAAAUCUCUAUCUCUAAUAUAUUAAAAGUGUAAAGGCCUUUAAAAUAUUACUAUUUAAACAUUUUACCCUUUAAAAGACUUUGUUAUUNNNNNNNNNNUUCCCUCAAAUAAAUGUCAUUUAAUUAUUAUAUUAAAAAUUAGGACUUUGAAAUCACUUAAAAGUAUAUUAAGUCUUUACUUAUUUGUAAUAGGCAAGAACUCUUAAAUCUUUUACUAUUUAUUAAAAAAUCCUAAACACUAAAAUCAACUAUAAUUAUAGACAUAUAUUUAGGUUUUAUGAAAAAUAUUUUUUAUAUUUUAAUGGUAGAAGGUAAUAGCUUUUUUCAUAUGUGUUUUGGUUAAUUACGUGCAUUUGUGAUAUAUAUAAUGAGCCCACGUAAAAAUAAAAGAGGACAUAGAGUUUAAUUUUAUUUUUUUAUUUUUAGAGAGGGGGAAGGGGGAGGGGGAUUAAGUUUCUUCUUUAGAAUAUUUUUUCUGUUAAUUUUUUGGGAAAAGGACAUGGCUAAUCCUUUUCAAAAUAAUUGGCUCAUGUUUGACCUUUAGAUGUUCAUGAUCAGUCGACUCAAAUAAAUUUCAUAUUAUGAUUAUUUUGUAAUUUGCGUCAUUUUGUCUCAGGUAGUUCUAAUACCAUAUUGAGAGAAUUUAUAUACCAUACUGAUAUAGUUCGUAAAAUAAAUAGAGCAACAAAUUUAUGGAUAAAAAUUGUAUCAUUAUUAUAUAGAACAUGUAUUUUUAUGAAAGAUGUAUAUAGAAAUUGUAUCUCUAUUGUAUAGAAUACAUAUCUGCAUAAGAUAUGUAUCAAAGUUUUAUCAAUAUUGUAUAAAGCGGUCAUCAAAUGGCUAGAAAAUGAAAUUAAAAUUCAAUGAUUAUUUUUAUGUCAAUAAUUUCAUCCAAAGUGUUAUUUAUGUCCUCCUAUUUUUUUUUAUAAUAUUUGAUUUACUUUGCAUUGAUUUUUUAGAUAAUUUGAAGACGGAUGAUAUUGAUAAUACAGAUGUAGUUGACAAAUAUAAUUUUAAAUAUCUUUUUUUAAUUCAAUACUACAUUGUUGAUUGUUUGGGUUUUAGAUUGUUCUUUAAAAUUUCUUUUACAUCAAUUUUUUAAUAUUAUUUGAUUUACUUUUCAUUAAUUUUGUUGGUAUUUUGAAGAAGGAUGGUGUUUUUAAUAUAGAUAUUGUUGAUAAAUAUAACUUUAAAAGUAAAUUAGUUUUAGAGAUCUUUUUUCUUUAUUCAAUAUUACGUAUCAAGCAAGAAAAUGUCUUGAUGUAUUGAAAUUAAAGAAAUCAAGAUAUCUGAUUGCGAUAGAGGGUUUCAAUAGUUCCAUCACUAUCCAUUGAUUUGUGACUUAUGAAUUUGCCAAUAUAAUAAUGAGACCUAAUCCUAAAUAAUAAUGAGACCUAAUCCUAAAUCUGAGAGGCAUUUUGUUAUCCUGCAUGUGAUGGAGAUUAAUAUAAAUAAAUAUUUUAUUUUAUAUAUUCUUAAUCUCAAUUUAUUACUUAUUUUUAUCGGUAAAAAAUUUACAUUGUAAUCUUGAUGUUUACGUAAGAAAAUUUAUCUUAUUGAAAUGGACAUCAAAUACUUGAAAGACUCAAUCACAAUAAGAAAUUAGUAAUGGAGCGAUUUGGUUUUGUUAUGAAUUGUUGCAUGCAUCUUUUUAAUCUUCUUAAUUCAUAUUAGUAAGGUAUAGGAGUAAAUGAUAUCAUGUGCUUGAAAGGGUUUUUUUUAUGUAUUAAUAGAUUAAGAGUGAGCUAUUUGAGAAGAACGUAAAUAUUUGAAAUGUUUUUUCAUAUUAUUUUUACAAGUAUGCUUUGCAAUAAAACAUGCAAAUUUCUUACUUUUGGAAUAUUAAUUUGAGCAUUCAGAUGAGUUGAUAUUUAUACCCCAUAAUGCUUAAUAAUCAAAUCGUAUAAAUAUAUUUUGGCCUCUUUUAUUCAAUAGAUUUUUAGCAUAGAUUGUUUGGAGUUUUAACCGAAUUUACAAAAGUCGAACUGAAUUGAAUUUAUUUCAGUUCAAUUUCAAUUGUCGUUUUUACUAAAUCAAAAUUCAAAAGAUCAAAUCAAACCAACCGAACACCCCCUCUAUUUGUCGCUACUUCUUUCCACUUUAUGAUGGAACCUAGAUUGGGGAUAUACAAGAAGUAAUAGUUUUUAAAAAUUGUGGGAUGCUCAGCAAUGUUAGCAUUAUGUAAAAAUAUAAUUAAGAGUGAUUUCCUAAUUAACUAUGUUUAAAUUGAUAGAAAUAUUAUUAAAUAACCACUACAAUAAUCAAUAAUUAAGGAAAAACCACCCAAGUCACUAAGAUUUAUCAAAAUUUAAAUUAAUGAAAUAUCUUUUUAUAAUAUUCUGUUUGCUUUUUAUAAAUGAAAACAAAACGUAUAUCUAAAGUAUGAUCCAUUUUUUUGUAAUUAUUUUUUUAAAAAAAAUAACUUGCUAAAAUUGAUCUAAAAAUUAAAAUAUUAAAAUAUUAAAAAUUAAGCAUGAAUGUUAAUAUAUACUCCUUCCGUCCUAAUUUAUGUAGCACCUUUUGAAUUUCGAGAUUCAAACAAACUAUUUUUGAUCGUAAUUGUUUCGUAUCUCUUUUAAAUAUUUUAAAUUAUUAAUUAUUGUGACUUAUAGUAAUUUUUUACUUAAUUUUCAAAUAUAUAAAUUUUGUUUCAAAAAUCUUAAAAAUUUUGUUCCCAAAUUUACGAUCAAAUUUAAACUAUUUAACUCUCGAAAAGUAAAAAAAUGUCACAUAAAUUGAGAUAGAGGGAGUAAUAUAUUCCAUAUAGGUGUCACAGAGGAUUGAGAAGUGUCUCAUUGACUAACUGAAGCGCAUCUCAAUAAUACCGUGUCGAUAUAUAAAUAUAUUGUAAUGGUGUCAUGAAGGUUGAGAAGUGCUUCAUGAAGGACUGAAGCAUAUCUUAAUGAUACCAUGUCAGUAUAUAAAUAUAUAUUGUGAUGGUAUUUUAGAGGUAUCACUGAAGGAUUGAAACAGACAUCAACGAUAUCAUGUCAGCAUAUAGGUAUACUAUGAUAAUAUCAUUACGGACUAAAGCAACCCCUGAUGAUACCAUGAUAAUAUAUAGAUAUACUAUGAUAGUAUUAUGGAUGACUGGGAAGUGUCUCAUUUUAAGGAUUGAAGCAGUCCUUCAUGAUACCAUGUCAACAUAUAGAUAUAUUGUAAUCACGUCAUGGAGGGCUGAUAAGUGUCUUAAUGAAGAAUGAUACUAUGCUCGCAUAUAAAUAUGCUAUGAUAGUAUAUUGGAGUGUCUCAUAAAAGGAUGAAAGUAGUUUUAUCUGAUACCAUGCCAAUAUAUAGAUAUAUUGUAAUUGUCUCAUAGAAGACUGAUGAGUAUCUUAUUAGAGGAUGAUACUAUAUCUAUAUAUAUAUAUAUAUAUAUAUAUAUGUAUGUAUAUAUAAACCAAGUAAACCAACCAUAUAUAUACAUAUAUAUAUGUGUGUGUAUAUAUAUAUAUGUAUGCAUGUAUGUAUAUAUAUAUAUAUGCAUGUAUGUAUAUAUAUAUAUAUGCAUGUAUGUAUAUAUAUAUAUAUGCAUGUAUGUAUAUAUAGUAUACUAAUGAUUAUAUCAUGGAUACCAUGCAAGUAUAUAUUUACUGUGAUGCUGUCAUGGAGUUGACUAAAGGAUUGAAGAAGACAUUAAUGGUACCAUGACAAUAUAUAGAUAUACUAUGAUGAUAUUAUUACUGACUGAAGCGAACUCAAUGUUACCAUGUUAGUAUAUAUAUACUGUGAUAGUAUCAUGAAGGUCUUCAAUGAUACCAUGGUAGUAUAUAUAUACUGUGAUAGUAUCAUGAAGGUCUUACUAAAGAAUUGAAAAAGGCACUAGUGAUAUCAAGACAGUACAUAGAUAUAUUGUAAUGGUAUCAUGGAGGUCCUAAGUAUUGAAGCAAACAUCAAUUGUAUUAUUGAUAUCAUGAUAAUAUGGGAUAUACUACGAUGACAUCAUGAACGCGUGACUGAAGAAUUGAAGCAGACAUCAACAAUGCCAUGACAAUAAAUAGAUAUACUGUAAUGAUAUCACAGAGGUCUCACUAAGGAUAGAAACACACAUUAAUGAUACUAUAUAUAGACAUAAUGUGAUGGUAUCAUUACAGACUAAAGUAAAUAAAAACAGAAUUAAAAAAAAAAUUACUAAAGAAAAAAAUAGAAUUAAAAAACAAUAAUGAAAAAGGAUUGAAAAUAUGAAAUUAGCUUGUCGUGAAACAACAAAGAAUAUUAUGGUUUGAGAAAAAAUAAAUGAAAACGGAGAAAAAAAUAAAGAAUAAAGAAAAGAAACAAGAAAUGAAGAAAUUAAAAAACAAUGAGAAAAUAAAAAAUAAAAAAUGCAAAAAUAAAAGGAACCAAUAAAGGAAAAAAAAACAAGUAGAGAAAAAAGAAGUAGAGAAAAAAACAUAAAUAAUUAAAAAAUAAAUAAAAAAGGAAAGAAACUAGAAAUAAAGAAAUUAAAAAAUAAAAAAUGGAACCAAUAAGAGAAAAAAAGAGAAAUAAAAGAAGAAAAGGAAUAUAUAAAAUAAAAAUUGAGCGAGAAUUAGAUUAUGUUAUAAAAAUAAAAUAAUUUUAUGAAAAAAAUAAAUAAAUAAAUAAACAAGCAUAAAAAUAAAAAAGGAAAUGAGGAAAAAAAGAAAACAAGUAGAGAAAGAAAAAGAAAAAAAAUUAAAAAGGAAGAUAAAUAACUAAAGUUAUAAAGGAGGGCGACAUUUUAUGUAAAAGAGUAUUUAGUUGUUAAUAGUUUGCUUCCAUAGGGCGUGAAUGUACUUUUUCAUAAAUUUUGCUCAUUAAUGUGUACAUCUAUAGCAAAGUGAAUGUGCUUUUUCAUAAAUUUUGCUCAUUAAUGCGUUCAUCUAUAGCAAAUAUCAAUUAUGGAGUCGACUUUGCUAAGGAGCACCUUAUUCCUAAUAUGAGAUGUGGAUUCGAAUUUUAUCAAACUUCAAUUCAAAUAUCAAAAACAAAAUAAUAAUCCAUUAUAUAUAUAUAUAUUAUCCUAUUUUGGAUUAAUUUUAUUUUAUAUGUAACCCUUCAAAUUUCAUUGUUGUGCCAAUCGACAUAGCUUUCUCUCUUAUAUUUAUGCCUAUCAUAAUACUUAAUAGAACUUAAGGGAUCGUUUGGUGUGAGGUAUAAGAUAUAAGUAGUUUCAGGAUAAAAUGAAAGAUUAUUUUAUCUCAUGUUUGGUUGGAGGUAUUAGUUAAUACCGGAAUAACUUAUCCCACAGUUUACAUCAUAGUGAUGGAAUAAAUUAUCCCAUAUGGGUGAUAGGAUAAGUUAUCUCGAAUAAUUUUGGAAUAACUAAUUCCAAAAUUAAUUAUCCCGAAAUAAUAAUUUUCCAACCAAACGACCCCUAAAAGUACAUUUUAUAUACUCUGAUGCUAAUGAGGGGAUGAUUCCAUUAAAUGAACUAUAUAUACUAUUCCUUCUGUUCAUUUCUGUUUAUCCGUAAUGAAUUUUGUAUACCCCUUAAAACAUAAUAAAUCAAGUAUAUAUUUUAUCAUAAUAUCUAUAUUAAUUGGUGUAUAAUUUUAAUGGGCUUGAAAUGAAUAAUUUUUGCUAAGGAUCAAACAUGAAAUAAAUUGAUGUAUAAUUUUUAAUGAACUUCGUUUCAUUUUAGGUGUCUUAGCUAGUCCGUAUGCAAAAUUUUAGAAUAUUAUAAUACUAGCGUACUUGACUGCGUUUUGCGCAAUUAGAAACAAAGACUCUUACAAAUACAAAGAUACCAAAUUAAAUGAAAAAAUUCAAAAAUGAAAAAUUGAUAAGUAAAAUAAAAGGUAUGUACAUACUGCUUGCAUUUAGUUUAAAAUGUUAUUUUCUAUCAAAGAACUAAAAAAUCUCAAUAUAAAUGCAAGAGUUUCUUUCUUCAAGUCAAAUUACACAACAUAAAUAUAAUACAAUAAAAAAUAUAACAAAAUUAUUACAUCAAAUAUGAAAUGAGGGGAUGAACUUGGAAAGGAUGUUAUGAAAUAAAAAACUAUUUACUUAUAUAUCAUAAUUUUCGAGGUUUUGUUGACACUCACUCUCACAUGUCGAUCAACAUUUAAAGUCCUCUUCUUCAAAUCACAUUAAAGCAUGAAUAUUAUAUCACAUAAAAAUAUAGGAAUAAUAUGAGUGAGGAUGAUCUUGGGUGCGUAGGAUCUCCUAAGAUUAAAAUAAUAUCAACUUAUUUAGACUAAAAUGAAAAAAUACCAUAACAUUUUUUUUUUAAAAUUUAAUAUUUGAGAAUUAUCAAUAUGAGAAUCAUAAAAGUCAUGAAUAUUAUUGAGAGUGGCAAUUAAAUAGGUGGAUUAUAGAAAUAAAAAUUUAACUUUAAAACAAAUAAAAGAGAAAAAAUAAGUAAUUUUUUUUAUAGCAAUUGUAUUAAGUGCUUUAGCUACGUGAGAUUGCUUAAAGUUUAACUAUUUAAAAUAUUUUUUUGUUCUUCAAACUUAUUAAACUCUUAGCUCUUCUCUAAUUUUGAUUUUUGUACAAUUAAUAUAGGUAAAGCUAAACCAUUUUUUUUCCUCAAAAAAUAUAUAAAGGAAGAAUGAAUUUCGACAAGAAUUUAUCUUCAUAUAUCGUAGUGUAUAUAAUUUUAUAUGUGCAAAAGUAUUUCAUUCUUGUUUUUUUUUAAUUUAUCAUACCGUCAUAUUUGAGUACUUUUAUAAUUUUAUAUCCUUGUUUGAAAUUUAAAAAUGAGCCAAAAAAUAAAACUUAAAAGGAAAAACACAUUUUUUUACUUGCUUUCAUACCUCUACCUAUUUAUCCCCCACCCCACCCCCUACCCCACUCCUCCCCCAAAAAAAAGCAUAUCCAUAUGUCCGCAUUAAAACCCCAACUAAUCCGAAUUGCGCGUUGUAGGGCCCAUUAAGGUGGCAACACUUCUAACAGAGUUUUCUCCAUAUUCAGGAUCGAACCCUCGACCUUCGGUUAAGGGUGAAGCAACCUCAUCCACUGCACCACAACCCAUAUUGAUGAUUUUUUUUUAUUUUUUUUUCUUGACCUUUUCUACCCAGUCAAUCACUCCUUUUGCCACAAAAAAAAAAAUAUUUGUUCAUUAAAUUAUACUAAAUGGAGUAAUAUAAUAAAAAUGUAUGUUCAUUACUUUAAUAGUAUUAAAGAGGAUGACUAUGCUGAGAGAAUCUAUUAAACUUAACGAAAAUAUCAAGUUUCAAUCUCUUUAAUUUAAAAAAAUUAUACAAUGAGAGGGAAAAAAAAGGGUUUAGCAAGAAAUAUAUUUGGGCAAUUUGUUAUUCUAAUAAUUUUAUAGAAAAAUGCAUUUUGUGCUUUUUGAUCUAACUGCUCAGUUAAUCGCACUAUCAUUCCUUUUUCUUUUCUACUCGUCUUUAUCUCACCAUCCUUUAACUCCUCAUUUUCCUUUGUUCAUCAACCUACAUAUAAAUUAUCACAAAAAGAAAAACUUCACCAACCAACCUACAAAUUAGAAUCACCCACAAAAAAGAAUAAUAUAAUAUAUUAUUUUUUAAAUUAAUAUACUAUUUUUUUUACCUAGUAAACCUAUACACAUAAUAUAUAAUAUAAAAGCACCUCGUUAUAUUUUUUUUUAAAAAGGAACAAAUAACAGCAUCAAAUAAACAUGCAAUGAAAAAGAAUAUUAAAUGCAAAAACCUCCAACUUCUUUUCAUUCAUAUUUUAAUGUUUUUCAUAAAUAGUAAUAUCUAUCAAUGAUUAUAAUUAGAGGUAACUCUUAUACAUAAUUAGAGAAUUUACAUUAGUUAUUAGUAUUAUCCGUUCUUAUUUGAUUGUUGUUCAUAAGUAAUCCAUUAAUUACUUAAAUAAUACUUCCGUUUCAACUUUGCUUAUUUAUUUAUUUCAAAAAAAUACAUUUUUUUUCUUGUUAGCACUCUUUAGGAGUCGUUUGGUAUGUGAAAUAAGAUCGAAUAUUUCAAAAUUAAUCAUCGGAUAUCUCACUUUAUCCCAUUCAACUUGAAAUUAUUUUAUCAUAGCAUAAUCUCAAAAUUAUUUAGUUCACAUAUCAUACCACUCUUAAUUCAUACUUUUCACAUGACAUGUUUAAAAUUGUAAAAUUAAAUGUCCUUUUGAUACAAUUUAAUGCUAAUAAACUCAAAAAUUUCUCAAUUUACUUUCUAGAACAUCGUAUCAAGUGAUCAAAAUUAUACAAACAAAUUAUAAAAGAGAAAGUACACAUAAGCAAUAUUAUCUAUAAAUAAAGAUUUUUAGCCUUACAUAGAUCCUCUCGCCUUCUAAUAAUCACUAAUUUACAAUUAGAGAAUUUACAUAAAUCAUUUCAUCUUGUUCGUUCGUAUUUAAUAAUUUGAUUAUGUAAUAAUUAUUAUUAUUAUGGCGAAUGAACUCAUAAAUAAACUUUAUACAUACUAAAAAUAUUUUUGGUCUUACAAAAGAUCUCUCAUCUUCAAUUUCUAUAUAAUUAUUAUAUAAAAAUAACAAUUGUUAUCAUGAUAAAUUAUUAAUAUAUAUUUAGAAAAUUCUGAGAUUUUUUAAAUAUCAUAAAAAGUGAAAUUUAAUAAGAUAGUUACCAUGUCAUUUUUUGGUCGAUUUUUUUUGUUUGUUUCAGUAAUGAAUUUUCUAAAUUUUUACCAACUGUGAAUAUUGAAAUAACUUCUUAACUGUAAUCGACAAAGAAUAAUGAAAUUAAAAGAAUUUGAAUCAGCUCAUAGGAGCAAAGUAUCUUUUUCUUCCAUUUGAUGCUUAAAUAGUGUUGGGAGAAAUUUUAAUUUUGAAACUCAAAGAUUAAUCAACAUAAGUUUGUAUGUAUAUAUAGCAAAUGUGACAUUUGUUAUUUUUUUCAUAUAUAUUCUUCUACAUUUUGAAUCCCCUCGAUACAAGUCUUAAUUUUCAUCAUUAACACAGACAUUUUUAAUAUGAGCUAAUUCCUGCAUCAAAUGAGGGUUGUCAAAAUUUUAAAAGGUUUCAAUUAACUAUAUCUAGAAUACAAAUCAUAUAUAGGUAUUAUUUAACUAUGAAAUGCAAAUCGAUAUAUAUUAUAAAUUAGAAAACACUACCUAAAGAAUCCAAAAGAAAUAAACAAUGCGAGUUUAAUCAUAUAGAAAUUUCUCCAACAUUUAUAUUAGUUACUAUGAUGCAAUGCAAAAGAGAAAAUGGUCAACAUCCACCUUUACCUCAAAUCCCAACUACACAUCUAUAUUUUGCGGGAUCUUAUGAUCCCCUGAACUAUUUUAAAGUAGAAUUAUUAUCCUUCCAAAAGCUGACAUGGCAAGAGAGUGUGUUUCACUCUCUUUAAAGAAAGUGAAAACAUAAAUUAUUUAUUAAAAAAUUAUUUUUAAUAUUUCUUUAUUUUCUUUAUUCAUUUUUAAUUAUUUUUUUUCUUUCUUCUUCCUCCUCCGAAAGCUGACAUAGCGAGAGAGUGUGUUUCGCUCUCUUUAAAAAGAGUGAAAACGUAAAUUAUUUAUUAAAAAUUUAUUUUUAAUAUUUCUUUAUUUUCUUUAUUCAUUUUUAAUUAUUCUUUUUCCUCCUCCUCCAACUUCAAGAACUCAUCAAUGACAUCCCAGACUAAUUUAUCAUCUUCUUCAUCUCCAAGCACAAAAUCGAUUGAUUCCGACUUCAAAUUCGUUGAAAAUUUCAAAAUGGGUAUUGUUCAUUAGUUUCAACUUCAAAGUCGUCGAAAAUUUCAAAAUCGAUAUUAUCCAUUAUUUUCGACUUCAAGAUCGUCGUAAAUUUUAAAAAUGAGUAUUGUCCAUUGUUUCCGACUUCAAGGUCGUCGAUAAUUUCAAAAUUCUCUAUUGUUUUCGACUUUAAGGUCAUCAAAAAUUUUAAAUUCGGUACUGUUCAUUGUUUCCGAAUUCAAGGUCGUCAAAAUUUUUGAAAUUGGUAUUGUUCGUUGUUUUCGGAUUUAAGUUCGUCAAAAAUUUAAUAAUUGAGAUUGUUCCUUGCUUUCCAUUUCAAGGUUGUUGAAAAGUCUUAGAUUCGAUGUCGUUUAUUAUUUCCAGCUUCAAGAUCGUUGGAAUUUUCAAAAUUGAUAUUGUCCAUUAUUUUCGACUUCAAGGUCGUCGAAAAUUUUAAAAUGAGUAUUAUUUCUGACUUUAAGGUCCUUGAAAAUUUUAAAUUCGGUAUUGUUCAUUAUUUUCGGCUUCAAGGUUGUCGAAAAUUUUGAUAUUGAUAUUGUUCGUUGUUUUCGGAUUUAAGAUCGUCGAAAAUUUAAUAAUUGAUAUUGUUCAUUGUUUCCCACUUCAAGGUUGUUGAAAAUUUUAAAUUCGAUGUUUAUUAUUUCCGACUUCUCAAAUUCAAUUUUGUCCAUUAUUUCUCACUUUAAGGUCAUCGAAAAAUUGUUUAAGUUUAAAAAGGAACAGAGAUGAAAAGUAAUGGUGAAAAAAUGAUGAAAAGUGAUAAAAAUGGAGAAGAAAGUAAAUAAAAAUUAAUUUUAAACAAAAAACACGUGCCAAAAUGCAGUUGGUGCGUGCAUCACACCACAUCUCAAAUGACUGGUUGUCAGUUUUCGGAGGGGUAGUAAUUUCACUUUAAAAUAGUUCAGGGGAGUCAUUUUUAACUGUUCUUUUUCCUCCUCCUCCAACUUCAAGAACUCAUCAAUGACAUCCAAGACUAAUUUAUCAUCUUCUUCAUCUCCAAGCACAAAAUCGAUUGAUUCCGACUUCAAAUUCGUCGAAAAUUUCAAAAUGGGUAUUGUUCAUUAGUUUCAACUUCAAAGUCGUCGAAAAUUUCAAAAUCGAUAUUAUCCAUUAUUUUCGACUUCAAGAUCGUCGUAAAUUUUAAAAAUGAGUAUUGUCCAUUGUUUCCGACUUCAAGGUCGUCGAUAAUUUCAAAAUUCUCUAUUGUUUUCGACUUUAAGGUCAUAAAAAAUUUUAAAUUCGGUACUGUUCAUUGUUUCCGACUUCAAGGUCGUCAAAAUUUUUGAAAUUGGUAUUGUUCGUUGUUUUUGGAUUUAAGUUCGUCAAAAAUUUAAUAAUUGAGAUUGUUCCUUGCUUUCCACUUCAAGGUUGUCGAAAAGUCUUAGAUUCGAUGUCAUUUAUUAUUUCCAGCUUCAAGAUCGUUGGAAUUUUCAAAAUUGAUAUUGUCCAUUAUUUCCGACUUCAAGGUCGUCGAAAAUUUUAAAAUGAGUAUUAUUUCUGACUUUAAGGUCCUUGAAAAUUUUAAAUUCGGUAUUGUUCAUUAUUUUCGGCUUCAAGGUUGUCGAAAAUUUUGAUAUUGAUAUUGUUCGUUGUUUUCGGAUUUAAGAUCGUCGAAAAUUUAAUAAUUGAUAUUGUUCAUUGUUUCCCACUUCAAGGUUGUAUGGAGAAGAAAGUAAAUAAAAAUUAAUUUUAAACAAAAAACACGUGCCAAAAUGCAGUUGGUGCGUGCAUCACACCAUAUCUCAAAUGACUGGUUGUCAGUUUUCGGAGGGGUAGUAAUUUCACUUUAAAAUAGUUCAGGGGAGUCAUUUUUAACUAUUCUUUUUCCUCCUCCUCCAACUUCAAGAACUCAUCAAUGACAUCCAAGACUAAUUUAUCAUCUUCUUCAUCUCCAAGCACAAAAUCGAUUGAUUCCGACUUCAAAUUCGUUGAAAAUUUCAAAAUGGGUAUUGUUCAUUAGUUUCAACUUCAAGGUAGUUGAAAAUUUCAAAAUCGAUAUUGUCCAUUAUUGUCGACUUCAAGAUCGUCGUAAAUUUUAAAAUGAGUAUUAUCCAUUGUUUCCGACUUCAAGGUCGUCGAAAAUUUCAAAAUUCUCUAUUAUUUCCGACUUUAAGGUCAUAAAAAAUUUUAAAUUCGGUAUUGUUCAUUGUUUCCGACUUCAAGGUCGUCAAAAUUUUUGAAAUUGGUAUUAUUCGUUGUUUUCGAAUUUAAGUUCGUCAAAAAUUUAAUAAUUGAGAUUGUUCAUUGCUUUCCACUUCAAGGUUGUCGAAAAGUCUUAGAUUCGAUGUCAUUUAUUAUUUCCAGCUUCAAGAUCGUUGGAAUUUUCAAAAUUGAUAUUGUCCAUUAUUUUCGACUUCAAGGUUGUCGAAAAUUUUAAAAUGAGUAUUAUUUCUGACUUUAAGGUCCUCGAAAAUUUUUAAUUCGAUAUUGUUCAUUGUUUUCCACUUCAAGGUUGUCGAAAAUUUUAAAUUCGAUGUUUAUUAUUUUCGUUUCUCAAAUUUAAUUUUGUCCAUUAUUUCUCACUUUAAGGUCAUCAAAAAAUUAUUGAAGUUUAAAAAGGAACAGAGAUGAAAAGUAAUGGUGAAAAAGAGAUGAAAAGUGAUAAAAAUGGAGAAGAAAGUAAUAAAAAUUAAUUUUAAACAAAAAACACGUGCCAAAAUGCAGUUGGUGCGUGCAUCACACCACAUCUCAAAUGACUGGUUGUCAGUUUUCGGAGGGAUAAUAAUUUCACUUUAAAAUAGUUCAGGAGACCCACAAAGUAUAAGUAUGUAGUUGGGAUUUGAGGUAAAGGUUGGGGGAGGGAUUUUUGACCAUUUUCUCAAUGCGAAAUAAUCUUAAAAAACAUAUUAUUGUAGCUUCUACUUUUAACUCAAUGCGAAAUAAUCUUAAAAAACAUAUUAUUGUAGCUUCUACUUUUAACUCCAUUUUUAAGUGGGAAAAUGCUCUCAAAUUAUACCUUAACUUUGAUGAAAUUUGUUAUAACUCCCUUAAAACUUUGUGUGGGCCCUAUGACCCCUAUAAAACUUUGCGUGAAUCCUAUAAUCCCCUAGACUAUUUAUUAGAGUAUUUUAUUGACAUUUAUUUGCACUAUUUUUUUAAAUUUUUUAGCAUUUUUUAAUUUUUGUAUUAACUUAUAAUGGUCACUAAAAUACACUAAUAAAUAGUUCAGGGGGUCAUAGGACCCCCACAAAAUUCAGGUGUGUUGCAACAAAUUUCCUUAAAGUUUAGGUAUAUUUGAGACUAUUUUUUUCUUUUUAGGCCAAUUAAUUUGUGAGAGGAAUAUCAUAAGUGUUGUCAUCUGUGGAAAUAAAUGCUUUCAUGGAGAAACAUCACACUAUAAUAGGUGAAUAUUAGAUGACAAAUAUAUAUUAACUAUAUAAAUUUAAAACAGUUUGAAAAGUUAUUUGAUCAUUUCAUACGCAAAAAUAUGUAUAUGAAUAAAAGAAAAAAAAGAGAAAAAAAAAAUACUAAAGUAUUAAGAUGGAUGACAGUGCAUUCAUUCUACGAACAGAUAAAAGGAAAAAAACAUCAUUUUCACCCCAUACUAUACAAGAAAAGUUAAAGCCACAUCUAAACUAUAUAAGUGACCUAUUACACAUCUUAACUAUAUAAAAGUAAUAUUAUUACCUGUCCGCGACCCUCAUUCUAAAGCACGUAUGUUACAAUUUUAGGCGCGUCCAGCCUAUUAAAUAAUAAAAGUAAACGACUAAAAUCAUUAAGGGAAAAAGCAUCGUUUUCACCCCAAACUAUAGUCGAAAAGUCGAAUCCACACCUAAACUAUAUAAGUGACCUAUUACACACUUUGACGAUAAAAAAAAGUGAUAUUUUUUACUCCUUAAAUCUGACUUGAAAAAUACAUAAUUAUUUAAAUAAAAAUUAACGCAUUUAAAUUAAAAAUUAAUGCAAAAAAAAUUAAAAUUAAAAUACUUCUCCCCCAACCCCCAGCAUCCAUCUCCCCACCGCCAUCCCCAAACAAUCCUCUUCUUCAUCACCCCUAACCCCAAACCAUCAUCUUCUUCAUCACUCCCACCCUGAAACUCCAACCCCAACCCCAAACAAUCUUCUUCUUCAUCACCCCACCCCAACCAACACAGUUUCUUCAUCACCCUACCUCCAAAUUCCAACUCCAUCCCCAAAUAACAUAAUUCAUCCUCCACCUUCAUCGAACCAAUAUCAAUUUCACAAUGAACAAAAUCAAAUUGUAUUUGGUGUUUAAACGGGUAAAACCAAAUUUUAUAAAAAAAAUAUAUAAAAUUUUGUAGCAAGGAUGUUUUCCGAUGGAUUCUCGUUGGAAAAGUCAAAUUCAUCGUCAACUUUCUCAUCUCAGUCUGUUAAUUAUUAAUCCAUCCUAAAAUGGAGUUUGCUACCAUAUUAGUUUUUUCUUUAAAUUAUAGCUGAAAAACAAAUGAAAAAAGUAUGAAAAUGUGUUGGUCAUUACCAUUUAAAAUACAGAGGCCAACAAUCAAAUGACCAUUUUUUGAAACAAUAAUGGCCAUUAUAGCUGAGAAUUUUUUAUUUUAUUUUUUAAGAAAAGACGAUGGAUUACAGAUGAAGAACAAUGUUAGAAGAAAUUAACUGUUAUGAUAAUUUUGUUGGUGGGAUAAAGUUUAUGGUGGUGAAUAUGGUGUAAUGGAGGUAAUGAAGAUUUUGGACAUUAACAAUGGAGGUUUUAGACAUUGAAGAAGAAGGAAAAAAAAUUAAAUUAAAAACAAAAAAGAAAAAAUUAUGAAAAUAAUAAAUUUAUUAUUUUUUCGAAUUAUGCUGACUUGGCAGCGCGUGUAAACACCAUACCACAUGCAAGUUGUGUAAUGCCUGACAGAGUGUAAAAAGUAUCACUUUUUUAUAGUUAAGGUGUGUAAUAGGUCACUUAUAUAGUUUAAGUGUGGAUUUGACUUUUCGACUAUAGUUUGAGGUGGAAACAAUGUCUUUUCCCAACAGAUAACUCCCCAUUUUUGGCAAUUGGUUGGUGCAACGUCAAGCAACCUGAAAUACAUAAGGGAGGAUAAGAUAGCCUACAAGAAAAUUAAUUUUGUAACUUAAGACAUCAAGUUUAAUUUAGAAAUCAUUCAUAGCAGGGCAUACACAGGAAAGAAAGAAAUUUAAAAGAAAAUAAUACUCAGCUGCAUAUGAGGAUACCUAUGCUGCAUAUUCCAUGUCACAAAGUUUCAGUGAAUCUGUUGUUGCUAUAUAUAUCAAUUGAUGGCAAAUGAUAUUCAUUGACUUAGGAACUUAAGAGUUACUCUAAAACGUUGGGAGAGGGAAACCUUUUUGGCUGUACAAAUAAAUUUAAUACAAAUUAAUAUGGAUAAUUAUAGACUUAGAUUAAUUUAAUUAAUGAAUGAAAAAGAGAAAAAGAGAAAAAUUGAAAAAAAUAAUGAAAAAAUCAAAAAAUGGAAAAAGCAUACCACAUCAGGAUGUUUAUAACUCUUCUUUUUAUAUAUAUAUAUAUAUAUAUAUAUAUAUAUACUUUUGAUUCUUAUAAUUUUAAACAAAUACGUGUAUUAUGACAAAAACAUAUAUACCCUUUAAAUCUUGUAAUACUAAACACGCAUGUUAUAUCAUUUCUACAAGUACACGUCAUUAAAGCUAUAAGAAAAGUUAGAACAAGAAACUUACAAAGGGUUAGGUGAUGAGUGGUAAAUUUACCGCUCAUUUACCUCCAAAUGCAACUUACAAAGGGUUAGGUGAUGUGUGGUAAAUUUACCGCUCAUUUACCUCCAAAUGCGUACACACUACUAUGAUUUAAUGGUAUGAAUGAGACAACUUUGGCAUUUGAAUGCACUAAUUCUCAUAUUUUGCAGGUAUACAGGUGAUGAAAAGAAAAGAAGUGAAAUAGGCUAAAAAGAGAUAAAAAAAGGGAAGAGAAGUGCAAAAGCUGGAAAAGCAGGAGCAGGAUCUGACCUCAGUUACUGUGAUCGCGGUCUGAGGGCCAUGAUCAUAGACAUUCAAGAUUAGUCAGAGCCAACGAUUGUGAAGGAUUCACCACAAUCGCGGGAGUCGCGAUCGUGAUCAAGAUGGGGCAAUCGCGGCAGCGGGGGUUUAUGCCAAAGGGCAGAUUUGUAAUUUCAUAAAAUUGACCCCAAAUCCCAUAUAGAGCAAAAAUCCUUUCAUUUUUGGGCAUCUUCCCAACUAAAAUUGAGCUUGGAGAAAUUUGAAACCCUGUCUAAUUGGGAAACUUAUUGUGGCAAAUUUCUCACGCGAUUUUGAUUGUAAUUGAAGUUGGCUAUUGAAGAAUACUCUUGUUUGCUUCUUCAAUGGAAGCAUUGAAUGAUCAUUUUGGCAUAAUUCUUUUCCCUAACUUCAUGAGUAGCUAAACAUUUAUCUUGGGAUUAUAUUGAAAUCGGGUGCAAAUAUGUGUGGGUUGUGAUUUAUUAGUGUAGUUUCUUAGUUAUUGAUGAUGGGUUUCACUAAUGCUUGCUUUGAGUUGGGAUUUGUGAGUGAAAACUUCAAAUUCCCAAUACAUCAUCCUUGAAAGAGGGACAUGAGUAUACUUUUGGAUCUUAUAUCAUCCUUGAAAGAGGGAUAUGGGUGACAAAGCAUUAGUGAACAAUAGUUAGAUAUAGCUUAUUUCAUUUUCAUUAUCUUACAAAUAAAGGUGGAUUGAGAAUUAACUAGGUCUUGGGCAUCUUUCUAGAAAUAGGGAUGCCCAAUUGAGGUGUUGGGUGUAUUUUCUUGCCACAUCCAUGAGGUAUCCGAAAAGGUCCUUGGGUGUUAAUCUUGAGGUUUUGUUGACAAAUUAGCAUCAAGAGCCCCUAACCUAGCCUACUCAUGUAGUUGUUAACUAGAAUUUGCAUUCCAUUCUCAUGAAACAAUGCAUUAUUUGCCCCUAGGAAGACAUAAUCCCAAGACUUGUCUCAUAUUGAAAUCUUAUCCACAUUUGUUGCCUUGAAUUGGUAGUUUGAUUAGAUUUUGGUAAAAUAAUUUUCCAAACCAGCCCCCCUCCCAAUUUUAAAUCAUGUAUUUCAUUUUGUUUACAUUACGGGUAUCUCUUUAGCAGCUAUUAACACCCAUAGGAUUUGAAGACUAAUUUCACUCCUCGAGGAUUCGACCCCAACUCACAUUGGGUUAAUAUACUUGACAACGCUUGUCUUGCUCAUAUAUAUGUAAUUGUAUAUGGUUAUAUACAUUGGUUCGACUUGGUUUUGAAUUGAUGGCAUUACUUUAUCUUUAUCCCUGAGUACAUGCUAGUGUUCACCACUAACUAUCUCCAAACGCUGCAUCCCCAUGCGAUGUAGGCGCCGUAGCAAUUUCUACUUUUCCUGUGCAAGUUUAGGUGGAUAAGCCUGGUUCGUUGGUCUUUGGUAGUGAAGUGGUGAGCUUCCAUUCUUCCGAAAGACAUCCAUUUCAUCAGUUUCUUUCCAUAAUUUAGAAAUGAAAAGUUCACAUUAACAUUACAUUGUGAUUGUGAUUGUCAGAGUCGAGGGGCAUGCCCCAACUUUUUAUUGGUACUCAUUUGGUAGAGGCUUUGUUUUGACUACUGUGGACAUGGGUGGUAUGAUUUGGUUUGGUUUGCUUUGGUUGGUUUUGGUUAUAGACUAUUAUAAUGUCUUGAAGAUUGAAUUCUCUUAUCUUUUUAUGUUCGGAAUUCAUCCGACAGGGGGUGUAAGGUGUAGACGGUGGUUUGGGUAUUUGGGGGUGGUCUCCGGUAAUUGUUGGACUUGAGAUACCCAUUACGGUCAGCCCCUGGUUCGGGUUAUGACCCCCAAGACUUGUCUCAUAUUGAAAUCUUGUCCACAUUUGUUAUCUUGAAUUGUUAGUUUGAUUAUAUUUUGGUAAAAUAACUUUCCAAACCAACCCCCCCUCAUUUUAAUAUAUGUAUUUCAAUUUCUUUACAUUAUGGGUAUCUCUUUAGUAGCUAUUAACACCCUAGGAUUUGAAAACUAAUUUCAUUCCUCGACGAUUCGACCCCAACUCACGUUGGUUAAUAUACUUGACAACGAUCGUCUUGCCCAUAAAUCAUAAAGUAUGUUGAACGUUAUCAAUAGGGUUGCUGCCCUUGUGAAAGAACGUCAACUCAAUGACUCUCUUUUCUCCCAUCCUUAACUUUUGACCUAAUUCUCACAAUGACCAAUCAACCACCUCAGGCAACCGGCCUACCAGAUCCAAUGGUUAGCCAGUCUGAGCACAGUGUUCCAUCUUCUGAGGCUACAAGGGUAAGCCAGUUUAUGAGGUUGAGUCCUUCAAGUUUUACUGAUGUUAAGUUUAAGGAGCACCCUCAAGGUUUUAUUGAUGAGAUGGAGAAGAUCUCCUGAAUUAUGCAUGCUUCGGAUGUUGAGGGUGUGGAGUUCACUACUUAUCAAUUGUAGGAUGUAGCGUACCAAUGGUAUAAGGAAUGAGAGCAGUCUAGGGAAGAUAAUAUUGACUCUGCACUGUGGGAUGAUUUCUUUAGUGCCUUUUUGGACUGCUUCUUUCCUUAGGAGUUAAGAGAGGCGAAAGUGGAGGAGUUUGUCAAUCUGAAGAAAGGUAGGAUGUCGAUCAAGGAGUAUGCCUUGAAAUUCCAUCAGUUGUCCAGGUAUGCUUCUUAGUUGAUGUCUAACAUGAGGGCUAGAAUGCAGAAAUUUACUUCUAGGCUAUCUCGUGAGUUGAUUUUAGAGAGUAAGUAUGCCUUGUUGAACAAGGUUAUGGACAUCUCUAGAUUGGUUGUGUAUAUGCAGGAGGUUGAGGAAGAAAAGAAGAAGCAGACGGAGAUAGGAGAGAGGUAGAGUAAGAAAUUUAGAUUUUUUUAUCAGGGUAAAGGCCAACAACAAAGCGGUAGAGAUAGAUAAAAGUGGUUUAAGUAGAAGUAAGGGAGCUCUGGUUCCUACUCUAUGGUUAGUGCUCCUUAUCUGAAACCUUCGGGUGAUCAUCGUUUUCAGAGUGGCAAUAGUUCCAGGGAAAGGGUGCCUAAUCUCAAAUUGGUGGGCCUCAGUCAGCUCCAUCCCAUCCUCCUUGUAGAUUCUAUGAGCGGUUUCAUCGUGGAUUUUGUGAUGAAAGAAAGAAUAAGUGUUUUAGAUGCGACCAACUUGGCCAUAUAUUCAGAGAAACUACCCUACAGGUGAUGUUGCUACGGGGGAAAAUAAGGCUCCUGUUGCCUCUUUAUCAGCUCCUGCACCAAAAGGUAUUGCUUCUGCUUCUGGUACCGGUACUGGCCGAAAUUACUUGUACGUUUUUACUUCUCUCUAGGACUCUGAGGGAUCUCUCGAUGUCUUUACUGGUAUGUUGAAACUCUUUUCCCAAUAUUUGUAUUGUUUACUUGAUCCGAGGUCCACUCUUUCUUAUGUGACCCCAUUCGUGGUUGUGCAUUUUAAUUUUAGUCCUAAGUGUAUUCCUUAUCCCUUUUAUGUAUCUACCCCGAUGGGUGACUCUGUGGUUACUAGAAGAGCCUAUAGGUGAUGUGUUAUAUAUGCUGGUGGUAGAGAAACUCUGGUAGAUUUGAUUGAGUUAGAAAUGGUUGAUUUUGAUGUCAUAUUAGGGAUUGAUUGGUUGCAUUCGUGCUAUGCCUUAUUAGAUUGUUGAACCCGUAAGGUCAUGUUUAGAUUCCCUAAUGAGCUGGUCGUUGAAUGGGAAGAGGAUUCUUUGGUGCCUAAUAGGAGGUUCAUAUCAUAUCUUAGAGCUCGAAAGUUGAGUUCAAAAGGGUGUCUUUAUCAUUUGAUCCGAGUUAAAGAUUCUAACUUGGAGGGUCCUUCUUUAGAAUCUGUUCCCGUGGUAAAUGAAUUUUCCAAGGUUUUUCCUGAUGAUCUUCCUGGUGUCCCUCCCAAUAGAGAAAUUGAUUUUGGGAUUAAUUUUGUUCCAGACAUUUGCCCUUUUAUCCCUCCUUAUAAAAUGGCUUCGGCUGAGUUGAAGCUGCUUAAGGAGUAGUUGAACGACCUCCUAGAUAAAGAUUUCAUCUGUCCUAGUAUGUCUCCAUGGGGUGCGCCUGUUUUGUUCAUGCACAAGAAGGAUGGUUCCCUGGGGAUAUGUAUUGAUUACCGCCAGUUGAAUAAGGUGUCGAUGAAGAAUAAGUAUCCUCUCCCUCGGAUUGAUGAUUUAUUUUAUCUGCUCCAGGGUGCUAGAUGUUUCUCUAAGAUUGAUCUUAGGUCGGGUUAUCAUCACCUAAAGAUUAGGGAAGUGGAUAUCCUCAAAACUACCUUCGGAACCCGAUAUGGUCAUUAUGAGUUUUUAGUCAUGUCUUUUGGGUUGACCAAUGCCCCGACGACAUUCAUGGACCUGAUGAAUAGGGUUUUCCGCCAGUUCUUGGAUUUGUUCGUUAUUGUAUUCAUAGAUGAUAUUCUGGUGUACUCUAAGAGAGGCGGAUCAUGCUGAUCACCUCCGCAUCGUGUUACAAAUCCCGAAAGAUCAGCAGUUGUAUGCCAAAUUUUCUAAAUGAGAGUUCUGGUUGAAAGUUGUUACUUUUCUGGGUCAUGUUAUUUCUAGAAAAAAGAUCAUGAUAGAUCCACAGAAAGUGGAAGUGGUUUAGAAAUGGCCUAGACCCAUGACUCCAAGUCGAUAUUCGGAGCUUCUUGGGUUAAGUGGGUUACUAAAGGAGAUUUGUAGAGAGUUUCUCAACUAUAGCUACCUCGUUGACUAAGUUUACCUAAAAGAUGGUGAUAUUCUUGUGGUCUGAGGCUUGUGAAGGAAGUUUUUGAGAAGUUGAAAGAUAAGUUGACUUCAACUCCAGUUUUGACCCUGCCUGAGGUUAAAGAUGGAUUCGUGAUUUAUUGUAAUGCUUCCUGUAUGGGACUUAGGUAUGUGUUGAUGCAACAUGGUAGGCAGUUAACGAUUUAUGAGAAGAACUACCCAACUCAUGAUUUGGAGUUGUUAGAUAUGGUAUUCGCAUUGAAGAUCUGGCGCACUAUCUCUAUAGAGUUCAUGUGGACAUCCUUUCUGAUCAUAAGAGUCUGCAACAUGUAUUCACAUAGAAAGAUCUUAAUAUCAGGCAGGCAAAUGGGUAAAGCUACAACAUGAGUCUCCAUUACUACCCAGGUAAAGCUAACAUAGUUAAUGAUGCUCUUAGAAGGUGAUCUAUGGAAAGUCUAGCUCAUGUAGAUGAGGAUAAACGGGAAUUGGUAAAGUAUAUUCAUCGUUUGGCUAACCUUGGGGUUCGUCUCUUGGAAUCUGAGGAUGGUGGUGUGUUUGUGCAUCAAGUGGCGCAGUUAUCUCUUGCUGAUGAGAUAAAGGAGAAGCAGGUAUUGUAUCCUGUCUCAAUGAAGAUUAAGGGAGAUAUGGGUCAGCAAAAGGUUGUAGCUUUUGUGAUUGGUAGCGAUCGUAUCUUGAGGUACCUAGGCAAACUGUGUUUCCGACAUAGAUGGAUUGCGAGAGAUGAUCUUGGCUGAGGCUCAUGGGUCGUGUUAUACUAUUCAUCUUAUUUCGAUGAAGAUGUAUCAUGAUCUUAAGGAGAUUUAUUGAUAGAAUAAUAUGAAUCGAGAUGUGGCCAAUUUUAUGGCUAAAUGCAUGGUGUGUCAACAAGUGACGGUUGAGCACUUGAGGCCUGAUGGGUUGUCUCAGGAGAUUGAGUUGCCUAUAUGAAAUAAGGGAGAUAAUAAUAUGGACUUUGUUACCAGCCUUCCUCAGUCUCAAAAUCAGUUUGAUUCAAUUUGGAUUAUCGUGGAUAGGAUACUAAGUCUAAUCACUUCUUGCCAGUGAGGACUAAUUAUUUAGCUGAGGAUUAUGCCAAGUUGUUUCUUGGGGAGAUAGUGAAGUUGCAUGGUGCUCUGAUUUCUAUUAUUUCGGAUCGUGGUAAUCACUUCUCAUCUCACUAUUGGCGAUCGUUUCAGAGAGGUUUGCGAACUAAGGUGAGCCUCAGUACUGCAUUUCACCCACAAACAAAUAGGCAAGCGGAAAUGACAGUUCAGGUCUUGAAAGAUAUACUUCGGACUUGUAUGAUUGACUAUGGUAGUAGUUAGGUCGAUCAUUUGCCUCUCAUAGAGUUUGCGUAUAAUAAUAAUUAUCACUCUAGCAUUGGUAUGGCUCAUUUUGAGCAUUGUAUGAUAUAAGGGUGUCAAACGGGUCGGGUUGACCCGGCCCACUUAAUAAACCCAGCCCGAUCAGCCCCUGGCCUGUAGGGUAUCGGGUACUGGGCUGGAUUAAUUUUUUUUGGGCCCAAUUAACCCAGCCCGGACCAAAUCCGAUCCAGGCCCACCGAUUAAUCGGCCCAACCCGACCCAGCUAGUUUUUUUUUAAAAUAGAUUUUAAUUAAAAAUGGUCGUUGGGCCAUUAUAGCUGUUGGGCCCAACGGUCAUAUAGCCGUUAGGAGCCCAAAACGGCUAUAAUGGCCUUUUUAUUAAAAAAAAAUAUCAAUUAAAUUAUUUCUUUAAACCCAAAAAAUUUUCUAGAAAUACCCUACACUUUCAAAUCAUUUUCCACACAAUUUUUCAUUCUCUCAAAUCUCAAUCUCUCUCAAAUCACAAUUCUCGAUUCUCAAAUAUUCUAUAUAUUUUCUAAAGUGCUCACUUUAAUUUUUUAAUUUUGCGAUUACAAAGUACGAAUGAAAGUUUCUAAAGUCGCAACCUUCGGAUACUUCUAAAAUUUGGUAUUGUCGUUCCAUCUCUAACAUUUAAUUUUUAAUUGGUGUACUAAUUAUUGAAUAUUUAAUUUUAUUUUAUUUGUAUAUUUUAAUUUUUUUAUUUAAAUUUAUAUUAUGGAUUAAUUAAGAAACCUCGCCACUAAAGGUGUUAAAAUUUUUUGUCCCAGAAGUGGUAGUGGUACUUCAAGUAGUAGAUAUACCCGUGUACCUCUGCCUCCGAUACCGCUUAGUCAACCUUUUGAGGAAGAAAUAGGUGUAGGUGCUCACGAUAUGAAUUAUGUAGAAGCUCAAAAAAAUUAUUGUAUAAAAGAAAAUAAAGCAGAUGCGAUUAAUUUAGAUGAAGAUGAUGAAAAUAUUGGUGAGACACCCACAGUAGAAAAUGCUAACGUUAGAUCUAAAUCGGUUAAUCUCCCUCCUCGUCCUCUUCAUGCCGCAAGAGCUCGUAAAACAACUAAUAUUGGAUGACAACUUUUUGAACGUAUAUCAGAUAUUGAGGUGCAAUGCAAUAUUUGUUAACAAAUAUAUAAGCAUAAAAGAGGAGGCAAGCAAGGGGGUACGGGUACGUUAAUGUGACAUAUAAAUGAUAAUCACGAUAGAGAGUUAAAAAUUGCACAAAGUGAUGCAGAUGUUGAUGGACCAACACAAACUAGAAUGGACCCAACAAUUGAUCAAGUAAUGAAGAAGUAUAAUAAAUCGAGGGACCGGAAAGAAAUAGCAAAAAUGAUAAUUGUGGGUUGUUUGCUUUUUAGUUUUCCUUCAUCUGAUAUCUUUAUUCACUAUAUUCAAGCAAUUUAUAAUCUUAUGUUUAAUGGUAUUCCUAGAAGUACUUGUAGAGCCAAUAUUUUUAGACUUCAUUCACAAUAUUAUUUUUAUUUAUCAACAUUGUUAAAAAAUAUUCAAUAUAGAAUAUCCCUAACUUCUGACCUUGGUCGUGCUGUAAAUAAAAAUGAUUAUUUAACCAUUACUUGUCACUGAAUAGAGAGUAAUUUUGUUAUGCAAAAACGUAUUCUUGCUUUUUAUAUGAUGAAGAUCGUAAACAUACUAGAGAUUUUAUUGUUGAUUCGAUUGCUAAAGUAGCAGAAUUUUACGGUAUUGAAAAUAAAAUCUUAUGUAUUACUUUUGAUAAUGCUUCUAACAACAAUAUUGCUAUAACAAAAUUAAAAUCUAAGCUAUCUCCGUCGUUACCUAAAAUUUUUCAUGUUAAGUAUGCUUGUCAUAUAUAUAAUUUAAUUGUAAGAGAUGAUCUUGAGAUUUUUGAGCUUUAUAUUGAAAAAAUUUGGCUUGCUGUUGAUUUUAUCCAAGGAAAUAAUUGUAGAAAAAGAAUUAGACUUUAAACUCAUAUGUGAACAAAAUAGACUUACACCGAUAAUGAUGCCCGAAGAAUGUGAUACUAGAUGGAAUGCUACGCAUGAUUUUUUAAAAACUUGUUAUAAAUAUAGAGUUCCUAUUACACUAUCUUUUAACCAACAUUGUGGUUCGUUUGCUGAUUUUGCCCACUACAUGCUACAUGAUUAUGACUGGGUUGUAAUUAAUGAUCUUGUUAAGUUUUUGGAAAAAAUUUAUAUAGCUACGAUUGAAUUUUUCGGUGCUUAUUAUCCUACAAUUUGUAAUAUUUUGGCAUAUAUAGCCGAUAUUUCUGGUUUGCUCAAAGAAUAUAAAAAUAAAGAAGGUUACAAAGAAACUGUUGGUGUCAUGUUUACUAAAUUUAAAAAAUAUUUUUUUUCUGAUUUCCCCUAUUUACUUGGUUGGCAUUAUGCUGAAUUCGUGCAUGAAAUAUACUACUAUGUACCACUUUAGUACUCUUAUUUAUGCUAACUUAGAGAUAAAUACUAACCAUGAUUCUGAUGAUGAAGAACAAGAACCUGAUUUGUGGACGGCUAUGGCCGAUGCGAACGCUUACAUAGAUAAAUUAUAUAACCACUAUGUUAAUUUAGUUGAUUUAGCUGUGCCGACAAAUAUCACUUCAACUGUCGCUCCUCAUCCUCCCGAAGAGUUAUCAUCUUCUAAAAGGCCGGCACAUAGUGAUUUUCCUGAUUACUUUUAUGAUUUACCUUGUUGGAACAGUGUUGAGGCGGGAGCUUACACAACAACUUAUCGAAAAGAGCUGAAGUAUUAUCUCCGAACGUCGUUAGAGGAUCGCAGACGACGGAUCAACGCGUUGGAUUGGAGGAGAAAUAAUGAAGCACGAUAUCUUGUGCUUUCAUGAUUAGCUAGAGAUAUCUCGAAUGUUCCAAUGUCAACCGUUGCAUCGGAGAGUGCUUUUAGUCAGGGAUGACAACAGCUUAGAGACAACCGACAUUCAUUGGGAAGCAAUGCAAUGAAUGUUCUAGUUUGCCUUAGAGAUUAGAUUAGAGCGGAACGAAGAAAUCAAGGAAUGAAAGCGGAACCGAACAACGAGCAGAGACUUGAAGAAAUUAUGACUUCACAGGAGAACUCAGUAGAAUCAAGUUCAUUGCAUGGUUUUGCCCCCAUUGACUUUGACCAUCUUAUGCAAUUUCCUGUUAAUAUUAACGUGAAUGAAUCGAAAAAAAUGAUGCAAAAUUUGUAGAUUUUUCAUCCAUAUAAAUUAUAAAUCUUGGGUCAUUUUACAAUCAAUAAAAUUCAAUAUUCAUUCACUCCUUAGUCCUUACUUUGUAAUUUUUUCCAUUUAAUGAUUUAAAUUGAAUUUUUAGUUAAAAUUAAAUACUUAGUUUUAAUAUAUUACUAAUUUACUAUAAAGUAUUAUUAAUUUAUUAUAUUAAGUAGCAUAUGUUUUAUUUAAAGAAGUACAUAUAGAGUCUAUAUAUACUUAUAUAUUGAAUGAUACGUAUAUAUGUGUAUAUAUUUUCUAAAGUAAUAUAUAUUUAACGUAUACAUGUGUAUAUGUGUAUUGCACCUAGCUUGAGGGCUUAUGUGUGCCUCAAGUGAGCCUUCAACAAUAUUGUUAUUGAUUGUGAAAUGCUGAAGAAAAAUGUGUUGAGGCUUUUCUGAUUUUUUGGAAAAUUUCCUUUCUAGUUAAAUAAAAAGUUUCUACAGUUACUUGCAUCUUAACUGGUAUUUGAUAUCCUCAUUCUUCGUGUAUGGUGAUAUUUUUGCAUCUAACAGAACCAUUGUUUUGGACCAUGGCAAUCCAUCUAUGAAGAGUCAGGCGAAAGCAAUGGCUGCAGCUGAAGCUAAUCCGUGGAGGAUGGGUUUCAAGGAAAAGAAAGAGCAGCCUUUUAAAAAACGGAAGCCAGAGCCACCUCCAGGUAAUUUCAGAACUGAAGUCUAGAGGUUUCUUAUGUUUUCUGCUUGUAGUCCAGUCAGUGUUAUUUCAUGUCCAGGUGUUGGAAAGAGUAUAACUUCAUUAUUUUAGUUGUUUAUGUUUCCUGUCUUUUCAUUUAACUUAAUGGAUUGCAGGGGGAUCUUACGGAGCUUCUUACAAAUCUGGCCCGUCCGCAGCAACUCAAUCAAAGGGAAAGCCUUCUGCUUCACCUUUAUCUUCUCCACCUGAAUCAUCUGGCGCUCCAACAUCUCCAUUUGGCAAUGUCAAUCUCUUGAAUGUGAUACCCACUCAAGCAAUGACUAAGUCUACUAGUUCCAACAAAGAAAUUCCUAGCAAGGCGACAUCAUGUUCUUCACAGGAUAAAGUAAGGCGCAACGUCUAAUGAUCUGCGUAGCAUGUUGAUAUCCUUACUUAUGGAGAACCAGUCCAAGGAUAUUAGUCUUAAGGUAAGUGUGAACAGUAAUUGGACCUUUCUUAAUUUAGCUAGCGAUGUGCUGUAAGAGGUGGAAGUGUAAGUUCAGAGCAAAGAUGUCCUUUUCCCUUUGGUUUAUUGCUCUUUUCUUGACAUGGAGUACUUGGUAUAUUCUAAAGUAUAUCUCGAUACUGCAUCAGAUUCAUCCCUUUUCCCCUUUUAAUAUCUUGUGGGUUCUUAGGCAGUGGAGAAAGCUGUUGGAGACACGUUCCCAAACUCAGCCAAGCAAAUUGAGCCCAUUAUGAAAAAGGUAAAUGGUACAUGCUGUUUCUAUAAUUCUGGUAAGUGUCCGUAACACAAUAGUUAUAACACUCCAUACAUUGAUUUCUGGGGGCAGAUUGCUGUAUACCAAGCUCCAGGAAGAUACUUCUUGAAACCGGAAGUGGAUACUGAAAGCUUCCUGAAAACUGCCCCUGAAAGUGGAAGGUACAAAAGUUUCUCCAGGCUGUUUGUUAUUUUGUUUUUGCCUUUUCUCUUUGAAUCCAAAUUGUAUCCGUCUUGGAGAGACAAAUCUGAUCUGCAUUUAGCACGAAUAGUCACAUUGAAGUCUCCCUAAGUACACUUGUAGGAGCAAAGAAACUUUCGACCGGAGAAAAACAUAGAAAACGUUUGUGAUACUAUUAAGCAAAAAUACCAUGACAUUUUCCCUCCAUUUUGAGCUGGAACAAUCUAGGAGCAUAUACAUGUUUUUGAUGUUCCAAAGGUUAAAAUAUAUUUUUGAAUUCGUCCUUUCUUUCGAUUUCCAAUUUAAAUGGUAUGAUGCUAACAUACAGAGAUCAUUUCUGUAUGUAUUUUCUUGGCCAUUCCCCCUUAUGGGGGGUGGGGGAGAGUAUUUCUGAUCAAGAGAUUUUUUUUUUGGUCUUCUAUAUCUGUUUCAUUUUCUUGAGCCGGGGAUCUAUCGGAAACAGCCUCUCUACCUCGUUAGAGGUAGUGGUAUGGACUGCGUACACUCUACCCUCCCCAGACCCCACUAUGUGGGAAUAUACUGGGUUUGUUGUUGUUGUUGUAUACAUGUGUAUAUGUUUUAUAAAUUUGUAUAUAACUAUAUAUAUAGUGUGUGUAUAUAUUGUAGUAUAUUUUAUUUAAAGUAGUAUGUAUUUAUUGAAUGGUACGUAUAUAUGUGUAUAUAUCUUCUAUGAACGUGUGUAUAUAUUGUAGUAUAUUUUUUUUAAGUAGAAUGCAUAUAUUGAAUGGUACGUAUAUAUGUGUAUAUAUCUUCUAUAGACGUAUAUAUUUAACGUAUACAUGUGUAUAUAUUUUAUAGAUUAGUAUAUAACUAUAUAUAUAAUGUGUAUAUAUUGUAGUAUAUUUAUUUAAAGUAGAAUGUAAGUAGAAUGUAUAUAUUGAAAUGGUACGUAUAUAUGUGUAUAUAUCUUCUAUGGACGUAUAUAUUUAACGCAUAUAUGUGUAUAUGUUUUAUAAAUUAGUAUAUAACUAUAUAUAUAGUGUGUGUAUAUAUUGUAGUAUAUUUUAUUUAAAGUAGUAUGUCUAUAUUGAAUGGUACGUAUAUAUGUGUAUACAUCUUCUAUAGACGUAUAUAAUUAAUGUGUACAUGUGUAUACAUAUACACUAUAUAUUUUAUAUGUGUACAUAUAUAUUGAAUGGUGUGUAUAUAUGUGUAUAUUUUCUAAAGUAGUAUAUAUUUAACGUAUACAAGUGUAUAUGUUUUAUAAAUUAGUAUAUAACUAUAUAUAUAGUGUGUGUAUAUAUUGUAGUAUAUUUUAUUUAAAGUAGUAUGUAUAUAUUGAAUGGUACGUAUAUAUGUGUAUAUAUCUUCUAUGGUACAUAUAUAUUACAUGUGUAAUUGUGUAUAUGUAUUAUAUGUAUAUAUCUUUUAAAUAGUAAUGUAGUAUAUACUAUACAUAUAGUAUAUAUCUAUUGUUUAACGUAUUGAAAAUGUAUAUAGAUGGGUAUAUAUAGUGUUUAUUGGAGAAAAAACUUUUAUUUUUUGGUUUUCGACCGGAUUUUUAAUCGAUUUUGAUCGGGUUUAGGUGGGUUGGACUGGGUUGGGUUAAGUGGGCCGAUUCAGGGUUGUUUUAAAAUUUUUUACUGUUGGGCCCAGAAUCGGACCAGCCCGUUUAACUAGGCUCGAAUCCGAACCGGCCCACAAAUCGAAUAAAAUUCACGGGCCGGUUUCGAGUUGACCCGGCUCGGCCCACUUAACACCCUUAGUAUGACAGGAAGUGUCAUUCUCUUGUUGGAUGGUAUGAAGUUGGUGAAAAUGAGUUGUUUGGUCCUGACUUAGUUUACCAGCCAUGGAGAAAGUGAAGAUGAUUCUGGAUAAACCGCUCAAAGUCGCCAAAAGUCCUAUGCAGAUGUGAGGCGUAGGGAGUUAGAGUUUGAGUUUAGUGAUUGGGUGUUCUUAAAGGUGUCUCCUAUGAAGGGGUGAUGCGAUUUAGUAAAAAAGGAAAGCUUAGUCCUCAUUAUGUUGGUCCGUACUUGGUUUUGAAGAGGGUUGGUAGUGUUGUGUAUGAGUUAGAGUUGCCUUCUAGUUGAGCUCUUCAUUCAUCCGGUAUUUCAUUUCUCGAUAUUAAGAAGGUGCGUGGGUGAUCCUUUGUCGAUUGUCCCUUUGGAGGGGUUGGGUAUUUUGGACUCCUUGUCUUAUGAGAAAGUCCAAUUGAAAUCUUGGAUCGACAAGUUCAUUGGUUGCGGACGAAGGAUGUGGUUUCAGUAAAGGUUCUUUAGAGGAACCACAAAGUUGAAGAGGCCACUUGGGAAGCUGAAGAGGACAUGAAGUCCAAGUAUCAGUUCUUGUUUCCCAUUCCGAAAAUCGUGCCCAAGGAAUAUGUUAUUCUUACCAUCUUUAUUUUCUAACUUUGUUAAAAGAAAGGGUGAUUUCCUUGGCAUCUUCGUUUUCUAACUUGGUUAAAGGUAAAAGUAAAGGUCUAUGGAGUCCAAUCGUGCUUAUGUUGCCUUGACCCAUCAUUCGAAGAUGAAUGAUCCAAGUUAGGGAGAAUGUAACGCCCCAAAUUUUUAGCCCUUGAAAAAUUCUUGUGCUUAGGGCUCACUCUCUUGGUCACGACUCGUGGUGAUAAGUUGUGAGAUGUGGUUACGGGUCAUAGGACCCUGGUCAUAACCAAAUUCAAAACUUAGUGGCAAAUUUCUGCUCUGAGUAUAAGUGGCUUACUAUGAGACGUGAGGAUAUGUUACGAGUUGUAGGUUCAAAUCAUAUGAUGUCCAGUGUUUAAUUAAUUUGGGUUUUGCGUAGCUUAUGACUAGACCUUACGAGUCGUAAGAUCUCAUUAUGAGUGGGUUGGCAGAGUCGUAAGGUAGGCAGUUUAUGGGGGCCCUAAUCACUAUUUUGGUUAAGGUAUGGUUACGAGUCAAGGGGUUGACUCAUAACUAAAGGCGACUUUUUUCAUCUUUUAAGUUGAGGACAUUCUAGACAUUUCCCCUCUUUCCCAACUUAAAACCCACGUCUUAUAACUUCUUUAGGACAUUAUUAGCUAUCAUAAACACAUCAAAUAAUCUCUUAGAAUACUCCUAAAUCCUCAAGGGUCAAGAACACUUAGGGUUUUCAUGAAGCUAUUCAGUUGGGACUUUCAAGGAUAAUUUCUCUACGUACUUCUUGGUGAUUAAGGCAUGUUACUCUUCCCUCAUUGUUAUUUUAUUAAAAAGCACAUGUUUUAAGGUAUAACUUUUAUGGUAUUGUUAUGGUUUUGAAACAAAGAUUGGGGGGUUUUGAAUGCUUGUGGUUGAAUGAUGUUUUCCUAUGGUUUAAUUGUGAUUAUUCACGCUUUAAAUAUGGUUUUGAACAUGUGGGUGCAUGGGUAUUGUGAAUGAACUUAUAAAUUGUGAUUUCUUAAACUUGCGACUCUUCAACCGUCCAUGACCCCAACCCUGUAUGGUGAAACUGGUUUUCAGUUAUAAGAAAUAUGGGAAUUGAAUUGUGGCAUUAUGAUGUUGAAUUGAACCUUAUGGAACUAUGUUUUUACAAACUAUGGCUUUAAUGAACUAAAGGAGGUCGAGGUAUUCCUCCAAAUUGAUUUUAUGAACUAAAAUGGGGUGUGGCGUUCCCCCAAGUUAAACAUGAUUGUUAUGGCAUAGAGUUAAACUUGCAAGUGAAGGGUAUGGCGAUACCCCUGUAUGACUUAACAGUUGGUUCAUUGAUCAAUAAUUGAAAUUAUGUGCAGCUUGUUUUAAAUUAGCUUAAUGGGAAUUAUAUAGCAAUGUUGAGAAGGUGUGGGUCUUGCAUGACUUGUACUGGGAACUCGUGUUUACCGACAUAAGUUUUGGUCUUGAUGACCUGUGUGCAUGAGUCACACUUGAUAUAUGUUGGGAUGGAUAAUUGCCUAGAUGGCUUAGCUUUCCCUCAGAUUUUAUCUGGAACGUGUGGCUAACACGCACCGGGGCCCUUUCAACAGGGGGAGCUAUACCCAUAUAGCCCGUGAGUGCCUAUUAUGACGGUUGAGCUACAUAGUCCAGGAUAAAGUUUCCCUUCAUGAUUAAACUUGUUCCCUAUACCGGCAUUAUAUAUAUAUAUAAUUGCAUAUGGUUAUGUACAAUGGUUUGACUUGAUUUUGAAUUGAUGGCAUUACUUUAUCUUUAUCUUUAAGUACAUGCUAAUGUUCACCCCACUAACCGUCUCCGAGCGCUGCAUCCCCACGCGAUGUAGGUGCCGGAGCAAUUUUUACUUUCCCUGCGCAGAGUUAGGUGGAUCAGUCCAGUUCGUUAGUCUUUGAUGGUGAAGUGGUGAGCUUCCAUUUCUCCGAAAGACUUAGUCAUUUCAUCCGUUUCUUUCCAUAAUUUAGAAAUGAAGAGUUCACAUUGUCAUUGUCAGAGUCGGGGGCAUGCCCCAACUUUUUAUUGGUACUCAUUUGGUAGAGGCUUUGUUUGGACUACUGUGGACAUGGGUGGUAUGAUUUGGUUUGGUUAGACUAGUAUAAUGUCUUUAAGAUUGAAUUUUCUUAUCUUGUUAUAUGUUCAGAAUUCAUCCGGCAAGGGGUGUACGGUAUAGACGGUGGUUUGGGUAUUUGGGGGUAGUCUCUAGUCCUUAUUGGACUUGAGAUACCCGUCACGGCCAGGCCCUGGUUCGGGUCAUGACCCCUAAGACUUGUCUCAUAUUAAAUCUUAUCCAUAUUUGUUGCCUUGAAUUGGUAGUUUGAUUAGAUUUUGGCAAAACAACUUUCCACCCCACCCCACCCCCAUUUUAGUUCAUGUAUUUCAUUUUGUUUACAUUACGGGUAUCUAUUUAGUAGCUAUUAACAACCAUAGGAUUUGGAGACUAAUUCCACUCCUUGAGGAUUCGACCCAAACUAACAUUAGGUUAAUAACUUGACAAAAAUCGCCUUACCCAUUAAUCAUGAAGUGGGUUGAGAGUUAUCAAUAGGGUUGCUGCCCUUGUGAAAGAACGUCAACUCAAUGGCUCUCUUUUCUCUCAUCCUAAACUUUUGACCUAAUUCUCACAAUGACCAAUCAACCAAUUCUGGCAACUGGCCUACUGGCUCCAAUGGCUUACCAAAACCUACUAACCCUUUUUCAAUUCCCACCUCUCCCUUCCAAGAACAUUCAUGAGCCUUCCACGUACAAUACUAGCGCUAACAAAAUCCAAAAAGAUGAAGCAUCCCCAAAGAAAUAUUUUGGUGCACUUUUUAACAUUGAAUAUGAUAAUGGAGUACCAAUGGUAACGUGAACUCAAGCUGAGGUCAAUCGCAUGAACAUUAUAGAACAUCUCCAAUAUUCUAUUAUUGGAAAAUUCUCUUUCAAUUGGCCUAGCAUUGAAGAUCUAAGGAAAGCAGUUCCUUCACAGUGUAGUAUCAAAGCUGACUGUCGCAUAGAGUAUUGCGAAAUAAACAUAUUCUUAUUAGAUGUGUCCUAGUAGAAGAUUUCGUUAAUGUGAUGUCUAGAACCUCGUAUUAUAUCAAGGACAAGAAUGACCAAGAUUUUCAGAUGUGUUCUUUGAUUUAUGAUGCAAAGUUCAAGGUGAAUAAGGAAACUACGCAAGCUAUGACAUGGAUUUCAUUCCCUAUUCUACUGCUUACCUUUUCUGUUAAAAACACACUUUUUACAAUAGCUUUAGCGUAGGAAAGUCAUUGCAAUUAGAUAUGGCCACCCAAUAAAACCAGACCUAAUUAUGCUAGGGUCAAGGUUUAGGUCGACCUAUUAUCUACGCUCCUUCAUUCGAUGAAAAUGAAAAUCAAAGAUGAUAAAUCAGGAAGUGAGAGCACAGAAACUAUCAAGAUACAAUAUGAUCUGCUCCUUAAAUUUGUACCAAUUGUAAUUUUCAAGGACAUAACACAAGUAUUGUAGAAUGUUACAACCGGAACUAAGACAACAAAUGCAAGGCAACAAUGAUGAAGGCACACAAUCUCUAGUAGAGAGAUCACCUCAGAAACAAAAGAAGUCCAAAACAUUUCUUCCAAGGAGACAGAUAAGCGGCAAAAUAGUUGGUGAUCUACAGGUUUGGAAAGAAAAAGAAAAUAUCAUACAAGACAUAAAACAUAAUAACAUGAAGGCAAUGUACAACAAAUCUGAUGAUGAUUAGAAAAUUGCAACCAAAAUUAAAUUUGAUACAUUGACAGACUUGAAUCGUGAACAGGGAGAAAGAAAAGAUAAUCAAGACAUAGGAGAACUUUCCGAUAAGCAACAUGUGAAGAUGGAUAGCUUUGGUGAUAAUGAUAAUACACAGGAGCUACAAAAUAAAGAUGCAAGAAAAGAAGUUCAAUAAGUAGACAUUCAACGCACCACGGAAGAAAAGUGACUGCAACAGUAGCAACAAUGGAGGAAAAGGUGAGAGGACAAGGGCUUGGGUGGAAGGAGUUUUUGAAAAAUCAUCCCAACAAAGAUCUAGGAAGUGGAGAGAUAGGGUAGAAUAGGAGGAUGGGAUAGAGGAUGAAGAAGUGGGAUCGUAUAAUAGCUUAUGUGAAGGGAAGAAAAUGGGCACAAAAUCUUUUAAUGCUAUUAUAUUAGCACCAGAUAUUGUUACAACUAUUAAAGAUUUGCAAUCAUAUGAGAAUUUGGUUGAAUAUUAUCCACCAAAAAAAGGAGCAUGCAGCCAUAACAAAUGAUGAAGCCAGGGUUCCACUUGAAAGUAAUGAUAUUCAAACGACAAAAUAUCCUAAUAGGAAGUUGUAAGGAAUUGUUACUCAUUCUUCAAGAGAAGAAGAGGUAGAAAAGGAAAAAUUAAAAAAAAGGAGGACGUAGUUCAAAUAAUUCUCCCAAACAAAAAGGAGGCAAAAGAGGUAGUAAAGAAGGAAAUACAGAACUGCAACAGUCUAAUGUGAGACUGGCCAGAAGUGUUGACACUAAAUUUAAUAGCAUGUGAUGAUUAAAGUCAUUUUUUGAAAUAUCAAAUCAGUGAGAACACAUCAAGCUUUUCAUAGGGUACAAAUGCCUUAUAGGCAUCAUAAGUUUACAUUGAUUGCACUAUUGUAGCCUAUUCAAAGACUAACUCAAAUUAACAAAUACAAAAGGAGACAAGGAAUGAAAAAUAAAGGUAGUAAUUGCAAUGUGAAAAUCUAGUACUUUGUAGAAUAUAAUGUGGACGUUGAAGCGGCUAUGGAUACAGGCCAACAAAUUACUUUAAAGCUUUUGUUACGGGAUUCAAAUAAGCAAUGUUAUACCUCUAUUGUAUAUGCUCAAUGCAUUGAGAGGGCAAGGUUAACUUUGUGGGACAAUAUUUAUCAAUUAUCUAAUAACAUGGAGCUACCAUGGUUUGUGGAAGGAGAUUUCAAUAUUAUUUUAAAUGAAAAGGAGAAACUAGGAGGUUUUUCUGUUCUCCCCCAAGAAGGGGAAGAUUUUGCUGUUUUGCAUCAACUCAUGUGAGCGGCAAGAGGUGAAUUACACAGGUAACCCUUUUACAUGGUGGAAUGGUAGAGUAGGGGAAGAUUUCAUUUUUAAAAGACUUGAUAGAGUUGUCAUCAAUAAACUCUGGCAAUGGUUUGAAGGAAUGGAAAUGGAACACUUAUGCAGAACAAGUUUAGAUCAUGCUUCAUUAUUGAUUACUAUGACGAAUAAAGGUAAAAUUUUCCAUAAACCUUUUAAAUUUUUUGAAGUUUUGUGCAGAUAAUGAAGGCUUUAUGGGGGUAGUGAGACAAAACUAGACUGCAGAUAAUGAGGGCAAUUGUUUUUACCAGUUUAAUCAGAAGGUUCAAAAAAGCACUGACUAUUUGGAGAAAGGAAACAUAUGGUGAUAUUUUCAAGUAUAUACUAAUCAGAGAAGAGACAAAAAAGAUUAAGAAGCAGUUGUUUAAUGAUGUUCUUGAUGCUGAGAAUAGGAUGGUUAUGCACCAGGCUCAAGCUGAACUCAAAAAAUACUGGCACUAUGAGGAAGAAUUUUGGAGGCAAAAAGCCAGUAUUACUUGAUACUCAGGAAGGUGACAAAAAUAUUAGUUCAUUUCGCAAUCUAGUUAUGGGCAAGAGAAAGAGGUUGCAAUCAAAAGUAUUCAGAAUGAAGAAGGGCAGUAGUUACAAGAUGAGGGACAUGAAGCUAAUGAGGCUAUCGAUUUUAUCAGAAGCAAUUCACUCAAGAGGAGGAGGCUAAUGAUUUCUCAAUUAUUAAUCAUGUGCCAGAAUUAAUUAGUAGAGAACACAAUGAGUUGAUGUGCAGGAAGCCAGAGUUGGAGGAAGAAAAGAAGGCUGUUUUUAAUCUACAGGGUUUCGUACUAGUCGUCCAGAUGGACUAAUAGGUUUAUUCUAUCAAAAAUAUUGGGAUAUAGUGGGAGGAGAUGUAUUUACGCUAGUUGAAGCUUUUUUUUUUUUGCAGGAAACCUAUUACUCAUACAAAUCUGGUGCUAUUACCAAAAAAGACUACCAUCCAGAUAUUUGCAGAUUUGAUACCUAUAAGCUCGAGUAAUUUUAUUGAUAAAGUUAUUUCUAGAGUGGUACAUGAUAGAUUAGAAGAUGUACUGUCUCUAAUUAUUUCUCCCAAUCAAUCAGAUUUUGUGAAAGAAAAAGCAUAAUAGAGAAUGUACUACUGACACAGGAAAUCAUCACUGACCUAAGGAAGAGAGGAAAGCCAAAUAAUAUUGUAAUAAAGCUGGAUAUGUCCAAAGCUUAUGAUAGAGUUUCUUGGCUGUACCUUUGUAAAGUUUUGAGAAAAUUGGGAUUUGAUGAAAUUUUUAUUGACAUGAUUUGGAGAUUACUAGCUAACAACUGGUAUUCUAUUUUGUUGAACGAGCAAACUCAAGGAUUUUUUCAUUCAACCAAGGGAGUGAGGCAAGGAGAUCCUUUAUCUCUAGUCCUUUUUAUCAUUUUAGCUGAAGUUUUGUCUAGAGCUUUGAAUUCUCUGACGGAGUCAGCGAAUUACCAAGGAUUUGAUAUGCUUAAGUGGAGUACCAAAAUUAAUCACCUAACUUAUGCAGAUGACACAAUUAUUUUCACCUCUGCAGAAACAAGUUUGUUAGGAAUGAUUAAAGAGGUUUUACAUGGGUAUGAGAAGGUGUCCGGUUAGUUAAUAAAUACAGAGAAAUCUUCUUUCUAUAUGUAUUAGAAGAUUCAAGAGGUUUUGCUUUAGGAGGUAGCUGACAUCACUGAUUUAAAAGAGGUGUUUUUCCUUUUAACUAUCUGGGUUGUCCCAUUUUUCAUGCUAGAAAGAAGAAAGUAUAUUAUAAUGAUCUAAUCAAGAAUAUCAAAGAUAGGCUACAAAAUUGGAACAAAAAACUUUUGUCAUUUGAAGGUAAAGCUGUAUUGAUUAACAAUGUGCUUCAGAGUAUGCCAAUUUAUCUGUUGUCUGUAAUGGCACCUACUAAGUACACUUUAAAUGAAAUUCAUAAAAUCUUUUCUAGAUUUUACUGGAUCAACAAGGAAGAAGGGAGAAGUAAGCACUGGUCAACAUGGUUGAAAAUCUACCUUUCUAAACAGGAAGGGGGCAUAGGCUUCAGGUCUUUAUUUGAUGUUUUCAAAUUCUUUUUUGCCAAAUUUUGGUGAAAGUUCAGAACUACAACAAUAAUGUGAAAAAAUUUCAUGUGAAAUAAAAUAUUGUAAAAAGUACUAACAAUGGUGAACUGGAAAGGGGGGUCAUAACUUUCGAAGAAAAUGUUGGAGGUUAGGGAUGAAAUAGAAUCCAAUAUUUGGUGGGAACCUAGAAAUGGUAAUGCAAACUUUUGGUUUGACAACUGGACUAGGUUGGAUCCUCUGAUUCAUCUCAUGCCCUCAAAUCAAAGAGACUUGAGAUUUGAAGAGGUAAAUCAUUUCAUGAAGGAAGUUUUGUGGAAUAAAAAUUUGCUCAGGCAUAACUUACCAUCUUAUCUGGUUGAGCAUAUCAUGACAGAAUUGCCCAAGAAAGGGAAAAAUAUAGCUUGUGAUAAACCAUGGUUUCUAGGCAUAAGCAAUGGAAAUUUUACUGUUAAGUCCUCUUGGGAAAUAUGUAGGCAAAGGGAAGAGACACAGGGGUUUUUUCACAAGAUAUGGACAGUUGGAUUACCUUAUAAAAUCUCUUUUUUCUUAUGGAGGGUGUGGAAGAAGAAACUACUUGUUGAUGAUGUUCUAGCUUCGAUGAUGAUCAAUAUUGUCUCAAGAUAUAGGUGUUAUGAACAACCUCAUCAGGAAAACCUAAUUCACUUUUUCCUGAAUGGAGAUUUUGCUAGAGAUAUUUGGAAUGUUUUACAGGGAUAGCAGGAGCACAAGGUUCGUUCAUACAAGUAAAUCAGGCAAUCACAAUGGUGGAAAAAAGAUUGUGCACCUAACUUGAAAUCGAUAUAUCAAGCUGCACAGCAGUGAUAUUAUGGCAAUUAUGGAAGAGGAGGAGCAAGUUAGUUCAUGGGGGAACAAUGUCAAGGAAUAAAGUGAUUUAUGACAUCAAUCAAAAUUUGUAUCUUCUUCCGAAGAUCAAAUUCCUUAGAUCACAGAUAUUCCUAAUAAUUGGGCUAUUUAAUUCUAAAACUGGAGACAUAUAUGCAACAAAUACAAUGCAAGUUUAUAAACUAGCAGUUGUCCUUAAAGGGUACUUUUAAAUAUAACACUGAUGCUUCAUCUAAAGAUAACCCUGGACCUAGUUCAAUAGCAUUUUGCAUUAGAGAUUGGAGUGGCGACCUCAAUUAUGCAAGGAUAACAAGAAUAUCCAACACUACUAGCCUCCAAGCAGAAGCUAUGGCUAUUCUAGAUGCUAUUGAGUAUUAUGUGACACACCAUAUGAUGCCUCUGAUUAUUGAAACAGACUCCCUGAUAAUGAAAAAAGUGAUAGAAGGGGAAUGAGGUAGUCCUUGGUCUAUCAGUAUGAUUGCACAAAUAAUUAUGGAGUGGAAGAAAAAGGGCGAAGUGUGUGUCUCACAUGUACUAAGGGAAGGAAAUCAACUAGCCGACUAUUUAACUAACAAGUUUGAUGAUUUUGCAAGUACUAUUCACUUUCAUAAUGAAGAAGAUCUACCAAUAGAAACAAGAAGAAUUAUCCAUGCAGACAAAAUUCAGAUGCCUAAUUUGUGUUUGCAAGAAAGAGAACCAGACUAGACCAUUUCACAAUCAAAGUAAAAAGGCAACAGUAGAGCAAACAACAUACAUCUAGAAAUAAAGUUCACAAUUUCAAUGGUAAAAACAUCAAGCCAAUUGAUACAGUUUACAACGAUUCAAGAUGUCAUAAGUUUAUCGCAAAUUCAACACAUCCAAAAAUAUAAAGGUAUAAUUGAGUAGAUUUUCUAGCGGUGGCAUCAAUCUUCUUGAAGGUUCAACCCACUGAAGGAAAAGUUGAUUUUACCAAAAGAUUUUCUAAUUUGUGUUUCUAUAGUUCUAUUCCUAGAAAAUCUUGAUUACGGAUCUUACCUGAGGGCGUAAUAGCUCAUGCUAUCCUCGAACAAGUUGAAGAAGUCUUCAUUUGGGACAGAUCUCACAGCAUCUGGUGAGAGCAUUGGGGUGUCUUGAGUGGAAUCUACCAAAACUUGUCAACAGUCUAUAACUGAGUUUAGUAGCUCAAAAGAAUCUAAAUGGUCAGAGGUUAAUGUAGAUAGACUCACAUUAGUGCACUUCAUCACCUUUAUUUUGAUGUCUGAUGUCUCAAGUGACAGAUGUUAAUUUCGUUGAUGGUGAAAGAGAGUCUCGGGGUUUUGGACUUAAAAGUUUUAAAAUGGGAGUACUUGAGUGGAG